CCGUCCCACCCCCUCUCUCUCUCUCUCUUUUUGGAAAAACUUCAGAAACCCCGUGUGGUUUCGUAGUUUCUGACUUUACCUCCUGUGGUUUAAAAUAGAUAAAACUUCAAAAACCCCCUGUAGUUUCCUAGUUUCUCACUUUGUGCCCCUGUGAUUUCUUCUUUCUCUUUUUCUUAUCAAUUUUAUUAUUUUAUUUUUUUUAAAUCAGGGAUAAAGUUAAAAUUAAAGGGUACUAAAAUGAAUAUUUGAUAAAUUUAGAUGAGUAUCUGAAGUUUUUUUUAUAUAAUUUAAUGAAAUAUUAACAAAAAAGCUAUCAAAAAGAUAAAAACGAAACCACAUGGGGGCAAUUUGAUACAUUUUAAACCACGGGGGGGCAAAGUGAGAAACUAAGAAACCGCAGGGGGGAUUUUUGAAGUUUUCCCUUUAAAAUAUAUCAAAUUGCCCCACUGUGGUUUCGUUUUUAUCUUUUCGGUAGCUUUUUCGUUAAUAUUUAAUUAAAUUAUAUAUAAAAACUUCAGAUACCAAUCUAGAUUUAUCAAAUAUUCACUUUAGUACCCUUUAAUUUUAACUUUAUAACUGAUUUAAGAAAAAAAAAAAGAAAUUGAUAAGAAAAAGAGAAAAAAGAAACCACAUGUGGGCAAAUUAAUAUAUUUUAAACCACAGGAGGGCAAAGUGAGAAACUACGAAACCACAAGGGGAGUUUGAAGUUUUUCCUUUUUUUUUAGGGUGUUUUUGUUUUUAGACCCUCAAAUUUUUUUUUUUUUACAAAUAUCCUCAUAAAACUUAUGUUUACAAAAUUGACCCUAUUCCAGUCACGCAAGCACCACGAAAUCACCAUAUGAACGUAAAUAAAAAGUUGAAUAUGGUGAAUCAUUUGUCGUGUUUGGAUAUAGUGCAUGCUUCAUUAUGUUCAACUUAACUUUUACAAAGUUUAAAAUAAUAAAUACGAUGAAUGUAAAAAAAAACACGAUUUAAAUAAAAUGUGAAAAUAAAAUGAUGAAUUAUUCACCGUUUCCAAACACAAUGAUUGGUUCAUUAUGUUCAACUUAACCAAUCACAUUCACAUUGCGCUGGCGUGACGCUUGUGUGACGGAAAUAAUAUCAAUUUUGUAAAAAUUGUGAAAGUUUUUUGAGGAAACUAAAAGCAAAAAAUCCUUUUUUUGUGGGUAAACUUCAAAUGCUAUCCCUGUGGUUUCGCACUUUCUCACUUUAGCACUAUAUGGUUUAAAAUAAAUCAAUUUAGUAUUAUGUGAUUUUAUUUUUCUCUUUUCGUCGGCUUCUCCUUUAACAUUUCUUUAAAUUAUAUAUAAAAAACUUUAGACACUCCACAUAGGUUUAUGGAAUAUUCACUUUAGUACCUUUUAGUUUUAACUUUGCCACUCAUUUAACAAAAAAAAAAAGUAAAAAAAUAAUAAAAAAAGAAAAAUAAAACCAUAGUGUAAUAAAUCGAUACACUUUAAAUCACAGAGUACCAAAGUAAGAAUAUGUGAAACUACAAGGGAGGUAUUUGAUUUUUUUUUUUUUUUUUUUUUUUUUUUUUUUUUUUUUUUUUUUGGACCACUACCUCAACCCUAUUCUCCUACAACUCCUACUCUAUACGUUACCUCCCUACAAUUUUCAAAUUAUAAAACCACUUAAAAAAAAUUGAGUCGUUGUUGUUGGGCGCCUCCUCCUCCCCCCACACCCCCAAUUUCUCUUUUUAUUUUCCCCCCUUCUUGUUUUAUUUUAUUUUUUUUUAAUUUACCUCCUCCUCCAACUCAUCGUCGUCGGCGUCGUCGGUCCCGGAGGCGAGGCGAAUUAGGGUUCCGGCGAGGGGGGACGGCGGCGCCGCCGAGCGCCGCCGCAAUGGCGUCCAAGGCCUCGUCGGCGUCGGCGUCGGAGUCGGCGUCGGGGAGCAAGUCGAAUCCCUCCGCCGGGCUCCUCCUCCAGGUUCGCUUCGAUGCGGAUCUCUCGUGCUAGUGUUUGGCGGAUGCUUCGGUUUUUUUUUUUUUUUAAGGUUUAAUCGUAAGGAAUCGGGGUAAGAUCGGUGGUUUGGAGCAAUGUGGGUGAGGAGAUGCGGUGUUCGUCGCGAUUUUGUCGAGAAUUGGACAUUGGUGUAUUAUGUGCCUCUUUUCUCACAUUGGAUCGCUCUAAUAGGUGUAUUGGCUCUUAAUUUAGCAAUUACUAGUUCCUUUUGUGCAAAUAAUGCUCUAAUUUUUUAUUUUUAAUUUGUUUAGGGUAAUUUGAGAAAAAUUUGCUAUGAGGAACUACAUGUCAUGAGAUUAGUUUAUCGUUGGAAUAAUUGUUAUAUAGUUUAUUGGUAAUAAUAUAAUACCUUAGGUUGUUCGAAAUGCAUCACAGGUUGCUGGGGACAAAGAAGGGAGUGAUCUGGAACAAAAUGCUUUAUCUAUAAUUGACACCAUGAAGAAGCAAGUUAUUGCCGACCGGUACACUUAUAUUAAGGUACCACGAACAAUUAUGCUCUUUCUCGCAGUUGUUACUAUUUGUUCCGCGCAUCUGAGUGCUUAUAAGUUUACUGCAGCAAUUGAAAUAACAUAUUUCUGUUUUUUGUUUCAGAAAAAGAUUGAAGAGAACAAGCAGAAACUCAGUACCUUUACACAACAUACUUACAAUUUGUCACAAACCAGGAGAAAUAAUACUGUAAAUAGUACUGACAUAGAUGUAAACUUGUUAACAAGAAGGCAAGACGACGCGCUGUGUACUCUGAAUAGUCUCGAACUAUCUGCCGGGGAGAAAGAUAGCACUAGUUGCCAAGAAGAAAGUUCGUAUACCUCGUCAGUUGUUCUUUUGGGCGGCAAUGUCGGAGGAAAGAAUGCGAUUCGACCGAUUAAAUUGCUAGAAGUGGCAAAACUUCCUCCGUACACCACAUGGAUUUUUUUGGAUAGGUAGGGCAUAUAUUCAAAUACGAAUUUUUAGGGUAAAUGACACAACUAGUCCCUAAAAUUUCUGCCAAGUUUUCUCUUUUCUGUUUGGUCCUCGAACUUCAAAUUUGAUGUUAGUGGUCUCUGGACUCUUAAAAGAGUUUUACUUUAGUCCUUAUACAUAUUUAUUAUUAGAAAAGGAGGUUACUUCAGUCUUUCUUCAUAUUUAUUAUUAGAGGGCAAUUUGUGCAUCUCUACAUCUUUGGGUUAUAUUAUUUUCUCUACAUAAAAAUUGGACUGUUAAAUUGAAAGUAUGGGAUGCAUGAAGAAUCGAUGAAUUCAUGGUAUACGGACAUGAAGAUGGAUUAGGCACAAGUAACAACUUUUACUCUAAGGUAGGACUAAAAUGAAACAAACAUGAAACACUGUUGACAGUUUUAGGGACUAAAGUGACACCUUAUAUGGUCUCAAAUAUUGGAUUUGGUAGUUCGAGGACAUAAAUGAAACUCGACUUAAAAGUUCUGGGACUACUAAUGCAAUUUACCCGAAAUUUCUAAGUUGUUCAAAAUAGACGCAUGCUUUUUGUCUAUUCAGAUGCUCAAUCUGGAUGUGGGUGCUAUAUAAACAUGUUGGUUCGUAUUCCAUCUUCACAUAGUUUCUUUUGAUUUUUGCAACGAUAUAAAAUAUUCAUGUUCAACCAUGGAUUUAUCUUUUGGUUUGCCAUUGUCCUUUUCAUUUGUUAAAAUUGUUCAUCAGUGUCAAUUUUCUUUUGCUGUGUAAGUUUCUGCAUAAACUUUGUCUAGAAAUUACACCAAUUCUAUUGCUUUUGCCUCCUAUGUGCUUACCUGUUACUUGAUAAUUGCCAUUGAAGUAAGCGUUGCUUGAAUUGUAUGUUUGUGCAUUUUCUUUAUCAAUUGACUGAUUUUCAGACUUAUUAGUAGCUUCUAGUUUGACCUUUAGUAUCCAAACUGCGUUUAAUUACAUGGCUGCGCUAGGAUAUAAAUGCACACAGCGCAGAAAGAAGUAAUUAAUAUGUGCUUAGAUUUUUUUAUGCCAACUUGCUAAGGAAAAGACACAGCCGACCUAAUUUCUUCUUCUGGGUGGUUACUGUAGGAUAAACAGACAUAAGUUAUUAAUGAAGUCUUUGCUAUAUAAACCAUAUGACAACUUAAUAAGCUAGUCUUUGGAAAUGGAGCUUUUUCUUUUUUUUGUUAGGGGGAUUUAGUGCACUGUGUCACCGACGAAAUAUUGGUCUAACCCUAUCCCUAGCUGAAGCCUAUUGGACUUCAUAUUGUUCUUUCUUUAAUUGGCGCCAAUUAAAGCGGAGAUCUCUAGCCUUAACUUUCUUUUAAGUGAGGCUUCAAAUUCUUCUAGAGAAGGACAAUUGACCACUAUUAUCAGGGACAUGUUUUGUGCAUACUUUUGUUGCUUGGUUGGGAUCCAAAUUAUUAUCAGCCAAAGCUCGAUAAGUUACUGAAAUCUUCUAUACUAAGAAUCCUUUUGAUGAGUAGUUGAAAGGGAAGUAGAUUGAGUUCUAUUCUAGUUGUCAAUUUAUGUCAUGGACUUCCAAUAUAUAAAAGGGUUCUUUAUCCCAAGCUGGAAUAACUCAUUUUCUCUCUGGUUUCCUCUUCCUUGAUCUUCUGUCUGACUCUUGUCCUCUUUCUUCUAGGAGAUUCAGUCUCUUCAUUGUCCCAAAUCCUUAGUAUGAUUAAGUCAAAGGUCAUGGCCUGAAACCUCACACUUAGCUACAAAACCUUAUUGCCUAACCAAUCAUAAUGCAGAGCUUUAACCUAGACUAUCAACUUCUCUUGUUGGGUGAAUGUGGGGCCUGACAUUGUAGAGAAGAGAAUUUACUUAUUUCUUGUUCUUAUUCAUGUACUUUUAGUUGGCUAAGGUAUAUCAGAAUUAGUGAGAUAUUGAUUUGCUAAUGCAUCUGAGAAUGCAUUUAGUUUCUACAUUUCGUAAUUUUCAUUUUAAUUGCUGGAUCUGUGGAUUUUUUUGUGUCAUAUUCUCGAAGUUGUUGCUGUUAGCAUUUCGGCUUACAUUUUUGACUUUCAGUUUUACUGCAACUAAUAUUGCACAAAAUGACUUCCAGAAAUCAAAGAAUGACUGAGGACCAAUCUGUUGUUGGCCGUAGGAGAAUCUACUACGAUCCAAAUUGUGGUGAAGCUUUAAUUUGCAGCGAUAGUGAGGAUGACGUAGUUGAUGAUGAAGAAGAAAAGAAAGAGUAUAGAGAUUCUGAUGACUAUAUUAUCCGGUUUGUGGACUUUUACAUGUUAUUGAUAUCAGGACUUUGCUUUUCCUAGUAUAUCCUUUUUGCAUGUGUUUUUUGGACUUUUUGAUAUCAGUGGCUAAAUUUUUUUAGUAAUAUUACAGAGUAGUGUUAUGAGUAAAAGAACUAUAGAUUGAAUACUUUUCGUUGCUUUGCAAUCGAGUAAUUAACAUUCAACAUGAUUGGUUAGUGCUCUUGUAUUUUAUAUUUCUCAAUGUAUACACACAUCUAUGUAAAAGAUAAGUUUAUAACAAUAUUAAAUAAUAGACAUCUAUUUCUUUCCUCGACUGAAAUUCGUAAUACACUACGGUCAUCAAUAAUCGGCCAUCUUUCAAAUAACCCUUUCAGAUAUUCUUCUUCUUCGGGGCCUGAUGCUUUCAAACUAGUCUUUUUGAAGAUCCUGGGACUAAAUUUCUCUGAUUAGUUAAUUUGUUACAUUUCUCUGAUUAGUUAAUUUGUUACAUUUCUCUGAUUAGUUAAUAUGUUUUCCUCAUAAAUGGUUAUUGACUUGGCAAUCACACCAGCUUUAUGUUUCAAAAGCUACCUCGCGGAAGAGCUGCUUUCCAAAUGGAAUAUAGUUGAAUUUUUAGUUUCUUCACUGACAAAAUAAGCUGAAAACAUGCGUGGACUUUAGUGUCUUAACUGAACUUUUCUGACAUCCACAACUUCACAUAAGCAGAGCAUGGCCUUUAAGGAGAAGGAGAACUUAAUAUCUGAUGAUCUGAAAACCAAAAAACCAAACACACCGGAAUAUUCAUUUCUUUUUUAAGUUGCAAAUUUAGUCCCUGAAGGUUAACCUUCAUUUUAAUUUCAUCCUCACAGUUUCAUGCAUAACUAUUUAGUUCCUGAAAUUUGUUAUGCGUAACAAUUAAGUCCAACUGUCUGAAAAAGGCGCACCAUGUAAACAGCAUCAUUAUAUUUUUGCUUAGUCAAAAUAGCAAGUGAGGACUAAAUUGAUAUUGAUUGAUUGUUCUCAUAUUUUGUUCUUCAUUCUUUGGUGUGUCUUGAAAUAAGAUGCAAUUUUUACCAUCUUGCUGUAGGAUGACCAUUCAAGAAAGUGGAUUGUCUGAUACUGUGCUGGAUUUAUUGGCUAAGUGCUUUGAGAGGACUCCUGAUGAAAUAAAGGCAAGUUUUUGUGUGCGAAAUGUGAAUUUUGUGUCAACUGUCUGUAUCACGCCGAGUUAAUUUCUCUUCCUUAAGUGUGAUGAGAUUCAAAGUUUUCCGAAACUUGGUUCGGCUGUUUCCCAUUCGCCUUGUGGUGACAUUGACAGACGUAUGAAACAACAUGGAACAUCUUAUACAGGCAAGAUAUGAGAUCUUACUAAAAGAGAAAGCUGAGAAAUGUGUUAAAAAAGAAGCUGAAGUUGAUAAAAAAGCUGGCGAAGCAUUUCUUGAGAAGGACUUGGAUGCAGCACUGGAUUCUUUUGAUAACCUUUUCUGUCGGCGAUGUUUGGUAAGCACGAUUUGUAUUCAUAUAUGCAGCAAUCACUUUCUGGUCUCCUAAAAUCUUCGUGUUUUUUUGAUUUCUCAAGUAAAGCCCAAUGUUCUUCCUUGCUGAUUUUUACAGGUCUUUGAUUGUAGAUUACAUGGAUGUUCCCAGGAUUUAGUGUUUCCUGUAAGUUAUUGAGCAGCAAGUUGAUUGUACAACUUAUUGCAUUUGUUUGUUGAAUUUUAUUUUCCUUCUUUUUUCAGACAGAAAAACAACUACCUUGGCACAACUCAGAUGAGGACGUACCAUGUGGUGUUCAUUGUUACAAGGUGGUUUGUAUUUCAUAAUUGCAUUUGAUUAUGUUGCUUAUGGUUGACCUCAAGGAAUGUCUAGAACCUCUCAACUCUCAGGAGUCCUAGGUUUUCCCUUGAUGUUUCUUAUGUUUAUAUCAGGCCUCCAAGUCUGAAAAUGUUGGUGCAAUGGAUUCACAGGUGCCGCGUGCUUCUGAAGAGCCCACUAACUCAUCUGAUAGCACUAAAAACGAACAAUCACCUAAAAAGAAAAUGCAAAGCUCUUUGCUAGGAAGGAAAUCAAAAUCUCCACAAGGUGAUUCUGCUUCUUCAAAUGCAAGAGUCGCUUCAGAGAGCAGUGAGUCGGAAGUCCGUCCUUGUCAAGGUCUCAAAUCUUCUCCACUUUCUCCAUCAACCUCAAAAGGUAAGCUAGGUGGGAAAGGUGGAAUACGAAAAAGAAGCAACAAAAGAAUUGCAGAGAGGGUUCUUGUGUCCAUGCGGAAAAGACAAAAGAAAAUGGGAACAUCAAACUCUGAUUCGAUUAUUAGUGGCAGCUUUCAACCACGGGCUAUGAAGCUUAGAUCGGACACACGAGGUGGGAAUAAAGAUUCUAGUUCCUCCUCACAGCACAAAGUGCCGAGCACCAGGAGUUCUGGUCAAAAGGGUGCACCUCAGAAGGAAAAUGGUAAUUCCAUAUGUGAGGAAAUUCAGAACGGUUUUGCUUGUGAAAUGGUGAAAGAGUCUUCAGCUACUGAUGAUGAUGAGAGUUCUCAAAAGGAGGAGUUUGUUGGUGAGAAUACUUGCAAGCAAGAAGAAACUGGUUGCAAUUCUUGGACUGUCAUUGAGCAAGGACUUUUCCUAAAAGGUCUUGAGAUGUUCGGAAAGAAUAGGUUAGUAUGUACUUUUGCUAAGAUAAUAUUAAAUAUCCACACAGGUUCUUCAUCUUUUAGUACUCUAUCAUAUCUUUAUACCGGUAAAAAUAUUUUAACCAGGAAAAUGUGUACCUCAUAUUUAUUUUUUUCUGUUUACUUUUAUCUGCAUAUCUUUUUUGUGAAAUGGAUUCCUAUUGCUGCGGAAUACCUGUUUUUGCUAUGUCCAAUUUAUUAGCUUUCAACCAAUGACCCAAAAUUGUUUGGUGUGCAGAAAUUUGUUUUGCCACUCAAAGAUAAAUUGAACGACAAUUGAAGUAUGCAAUAUUGACAUAUUUAUAUUAUAUUGACAUUUGUGUGCAUGAAUAUUACUGCUGCUAUUAGAUGAGAUCAAAAACAUUUGUUUGCAUGACUAUUACUGCUGCUUUUAGAUGAAAUCAAUAAGAUUUUUUUUGUAUGGUUACUAUUGCUGCUCUUCGAUGAAAUCGAUCUGUUUUGAAUUAGAACUCCAUGAGGUUUGACUCUCAGAAAGCAAGAAAUUGGGGAUUGGUUUGACUGAUCAGUUGAAGUUUGUGCUGAUUAGAUGGAACCACGGAGUUGUGGGAACGGUAAUAGCUGCAAUUGAAUUUCAAUUGCCAAGAUCACUUUGAUAUCUUUAUUGACUUUGUGGCCUCCUACCAUUCUCUAUUUUGUUUUUUUAAAAUGGAGUGAAAAUAUCUUACAAGGGUGUAACUGUAGUUUUGUGACAGUUCUGUCUUAAUUUUUCAUUUCACACCGAGAGCUCUAUGGUUUAUCUAUGUUCUGUCAAUUGUAUUAUGUCUUCCGUAGUUGAUUCAAAUAGUGGGAUGAUGGGAUUGUAAGUUGAUCAUCAAAUUAACCAAACCACCUUGUGUGUUUGCAUGUACAUGCAUGUGGAUCAAAGAACUGCUCUCUUUCUUGACCUUCUUUUCUCUUAUCAUUUUCAAUUUUCCCUUUGUUCUAUCUCGGACUUUCAUGCUUAUCCUGCUUUGUGGUUUAAGAACUAAACGUCUUGAUUGAUUAUUUUGGAUAUUUAACUUGGCUGGCAAUAACACAUUUAGUCUUAUCAAUGGGUACCACUUGCGCCCUACGAUGCUUGAACUAAUUAACUCCAGUCGUUGUGUGUCUGUCCUUUUCAUUGGAAUUUAAAGAGUCAAAAUUUGGGUCACUUGGUGGCCUUGCUAGGUUUUAGGUUGUGUGGCAAACGUUUUUGUGAUUCAUUUUGCUCUAUUUGCAAGUCAAAUUCUAACUUGCUUUGUAUUCAAAAUCUAUUUUCUAUGUGCAGUUGUCUGAUUUCUCGAAACCUUUUGAGUGGAAUGAAAACAUGUUCUGAGGUUUUUCAUUACAUGAAUUAUAUUGAGAGUAAAGGAGCGUGUGGAGUUCAUAAUGGUUCAAAUUCUCUCGCCGAAGGACAUGUAAAGGUUAGUACUAAUGUAUUAUUUUUCACUACGUAAGCAUACAUUUCGGUCAGCAACUUAUAUUGGUAGUUCUUUCCAUGCUGACACUCUCAGGGCAAUGACUUGCGCACAAGAUCAAGGUUCUUUAGAAGGCGAGGUAGAGUUCGUCGAUUAAAGUAUACCUGGAAAUCUGCUGGAUACCAUUCCAUAAGGAAAAGGAUUACAGAGAGGAAGGAUCAGCCUUGUCGCCAAUAUAAUCCUUGUGGCUGUCAAUCGGCUUGUGGAAAGCAAUGCCCUUGCCUCUUGAAUGGGACAUGCUGUGAAAAAUACUGUGGGUGAGUUUUUCUGUUUCUCAUUUUCUUUGAUGAAUGUUAUCUGAUAUUCAUUGACUUAUUAUUAUUAUUUUUGAACAUAUAGCUGAUUAAUUGAUGAAAGUUUCAGAAAAAAAAAUCCAUUUAAACUAGCCGUGUACUUCAUUUUUUUUGUUUGCUUAUAUUGCAUCAUAUUGGGAGGCUUUUCAUCCAUCCCCCACAUGGUUUCUUUUUGUCAGUUGAAGUUAAUGCUCUUGCUUUGUUACUUCAUUACCGAGAUUAGUUCGGGUGCAUUGUUUUUUAUGCCACUACUUGAAAACACCAUUUCAGUUAAAAGUAUCUGUUCUAUAUAUUGAAAGUUAAAAAUAUAGAUGCAUUCAUAUACUGCAUAUUAGUUACAUUAUGGUUUUCUGACACCUUCUAUAGAUUUAUCACUGUCUUGAUUCUGAUUGAGUUGUUCAUUCUUUUAAAGAAUGCUUUGGAAGGAGUGAAAUAUGAAUAACCCUAUUCUGAAUUCCACUUAAUGCGACAUUGCUGUCCAUAGUUGGCUGCCUAGAUCAGUUGAGUGGAUAAGUCCCCAAAAAUUAUAGAGGGGAUAGUGUAAACUAUGAAGCAUUGUAUUAUGUUUACUUCGUACAAGAUAAUGGAUUCAUAUUCUUUAAAUUCCCUCACUUCAUAUAAUUUAAGAGUUAUUCUGAUGGAAACUAGUCUGAUCGACUUCUAUUCUAUGCUUAUACUGUGAACUCUAUUUGACUGCACUAUUCCUUGUUUCUUCUGCUAGUUAUGCUUGCCAUAUCGCUUACAUCCUGUUCACUAUCUUUAUUAGGUGCCCCAAGAUUUGCAAGAAUCGCUUUCGAGGUUGCCAUUGUGCCAAGAGUCAGUGUAGAAGCCGCCAAUGCCCAUGCUUUGCUGCCGACAGAGAAUGCGAUCCUGAUGUGUGCAGAAACUGUUGGGUUGGGUAUGUAUAUCAAGCCCAAGUUUGACUAGUUAAACCUUAUGUUACUCUUGGUUUUAUCUAAUUUGGUAGAUUAUUCAUUUUUCUUUGGUAAACUUGACAUGCAAAUCAUGUAAUGGGGGGAUCGCCUAGUUUAGGCAUAUCUCGUGGCAUGCUCCCAAAUGUGAGCAAUAAAAAAGAGCUGAAAACUGCACAUAAAAAAUUAAGAAUAAAUGUUUUAUUACCAAAUUGGUGAUAUGCAACAAUAGGAAAUUUAGUUGGAUUACAGCAGCCGUUGGAAAAUAAUUGGAAAAUUUUUGGACUCAUGUAUUGAAACCAACCUCUUGUUAGUUGUUUUCUGGUACUGUUGAUAUUAUAUGCUUUCUAAUCUUUCUGUACAGUUGUGGUGAUGGCACUUUGGGAGGCCCCAGUCAAAGAGGAGAUAAUUAUGAAUGCCGAAACAUGAAGUUGCUUCUCAAACAACAGCAAAGGGUAAGAAUAAACUACUGUGAAUACUAGUUAAUGCUUCACUUUCUAUGAUUUGAAGUAUGUUUUCAUUUAGCAAGCAUCUUCUUAUUUUAGUAGAGAGUCUAAGCGAGCCAAUGAACAACAACAUACACCCGGCCACCCCACAAUCUUGUUUCUGUUUUUUUAUUGGGCUGAAUUUAGCUAGACAGAUAUAGACUUAUUUACAGCAGUACCUAAGAAAAUAGACACUGGAGUUUUCUCACAGUUUGUAAUUCAAUGCAUGUUCUGAUUUGAAAAAUUCAAUUUGCAAUGUGAUGUACAUGACAAGGCCUCUGAAUGAAAAAUCUUAACUUCUGGAGCCAUCGUGACGUAGUAGUCUCGACAAAAAGUGCCUUUUGUCAUUCGAUCAUGUUAUCAUGUAUUGCAAUUAUGAAAACAUGGGAAUGUGAGACAUAGUAAUGGAACUAAUGAUAUAGGUAAUCUCUUUGAAUCUUUCUAGUGUCUCUCUCUUCAUACCUUCUAUCAUAUAUUGCUAGUUCUUUUUGUGCCGUUGCGGCUAUAUUUCAUUAUGCAAAUUGAUAUGAAUAGCACAUAAUUUGAGACAUUAAUAUCUCAAACUUGAAGUUUUCCAGAUAUUUAUUGGUUAUAGGUUUGCUGCCUUUUGCAGGUUCUACUUGGAAGAUCCGAUGUUUCUGGCUGGGGAGCAUUCCUUAAGGUUUGUACUUCCACUUUGCUCGUUUUCCCUUUUAUCUCAUCUCAUUGUCUUAUCUUUGUGGCAAUUUCAGAAUAGCGUGGGUAAACAUGAAUAUCUUGGUGAGUACACCGGAGAACUGAUAUCUCAUAGAGAAGCAGAUAAACGCGGAAAGAUCUACGACCGCGAGAACUCAUCAUUUCUCUUCAACCUAAAUGACCAGGCAUGCACCCUUUCCUAUUUGAUUGAAUUUAUGUGCGCCUACAAAUGAAUCGUUUACAUAUAUACCUGCCGGCAAAAUCUGAAUUUUCAUACUUGUCCUUGAAAAAACUUAAAUAUUCUUAUAUAUACAUCCUUGUAUUUACGGACAUCAUUCUCUAAUUGGUCAAUUCACCUACUUGGUGUUUUUUUCUAUGACACUGCUAUGAAAAUUCCGAUUUUAAACAGGUUAUUAUUUGGAUGAUUUGCAGGGACAUAAAUAUAUAAAAGCCUCUUACUUUUCAAGUCGUACUAUUAAUUACUCUAGCAGUUAACUAUUUAACACUUGCUGUGCAGUUUGUUCUUGAUGCGUACCGUAAGGGCGAUAAACUGAAAUUUGCGAACCACUCCCCUGACCCAAACUGCUAUGCUAAAGUCAUAAUGGUAGCAGGAGAUCACAGGGUCGGCAUAUUCGCGAAAGAGAGGAUCAGUGCAGGGGAGGAGCUGUUUUACGACUACCGCUACGAUCCGGACCAUGCCCCUGCAUGGGCUCGAAAGCCCGAAGCAGGCGGCUCCAAGGACGACACACAUCAUUCCAGCGGAAGGGCGAAAAAACUUGCCUGAAUAGUUAGGACUAUGAGCCUUCAUUUUUUUUUGCUUGGGGUCUAAUUUUACCGCAAAAUCAUUGAUUUUAAAGAGUAGAAUCUGGGGCAUUCCCAUUCAUCUUUAGGCUCAUUCAUCUUUCAGCAUCUUAACUCUUAUUAUGAACUUGUACAUUUCCUAACCUCCUUUUCCAUAUCAAGUCCCUGAUUUUGAAUUGUAUUAACUUUUAUAACAAAGUUUCUUGCUGAUGUUCGAAACUUCAAUACAUGCAUUAGCAUGCAAAAAAUUUGAAUGUGUUUUGCAGGAGGCCUUUGUUUGCGGAGCCUUGUGCACGGACGGGCCGGCGAUGAAUAUUUUGUUCAGUAUAUUCUCUUAAUUUACUUAAUAGGGGCAAUUAUUUAUAUACUCCUGAAAAAUUUUCGACAUUCUGAUUUAUCCUUCUUAGAAGGCUAAUAUUAAAAAUAUCUUUUUUACGUUCCAACAUAUUCAAAUAUGCUUCUAGAGUAAACUUUAUUAUUUCUAUGAAAUUAUUAUUUUGCUCUUUUAAAUAUAUCUUUCUACUAUCACCGAUUUUUUUUAUUUGCCCUUAAGUUAGGAGCACAAAAAGUAUUUUGCUUUUUAGUUUUUUCAAACAUCCUAUUUUUGAAAUUUUGAGAGAUAUAUGGGCAAUUAGAAAAUAGAAUAAAACAUUUUCUUAAACUAAAAAACGAAAGAGUUUGUAGAACUAUAAAUAUUAAAACAUGUUAUUGUAUCAAAUGGAUGUUUUAUUAAAUAGAAUAAGAUUUUCGCUUUUUUUUUUAUGAAACGCUUUUUUUUUUUGCUUUUUUUUUAAUGAAAAUAGAAUAAAACAUUUUCUUAAACUAAAAAACGAAAGAGUUUGUAGAACUAUAAAUAUUAAAACAUGUUAUUGUAUCAAAUGGAUGUUUUAUUAAAUAGAAUAAGAUUUUCGCUUUUUUUUUUAUGAAACGCUUUUUUUUUUUGCUUUUUUUUUAAUGAAAAUAGAAUAAAACAUUUUCUUAAACUAAAAAACGAAAGAGUUUGUAGAACUAUAAAUAUUAAAACAUGUUAUUGUAUCAAAUGGAUGUUUUAUUAAAUAGAAUAAGAUUUUCGCUUUUUUUUUUAUGAAACGCUUUUUUUUUUUGCUUUUUUUUUAAUGAAAAUAGAAUAAAACAUUUUCUUAAACUAAAAAACGAAAGAGUUUGUAGAACUAUAAAUAUUAAAACAUGUUAUUGUAUCAAAUGGAUGUUUUAUUAAAUAGAAUAAGAUUUUUUUAUUAAAUUUUAAAUUUGUCUUUAAUUGAAAAUUAUAAACUAUUGUGAGGAGUAGUUAGUUUACAUGUUCGAAUAAUUCCUNUUUUUUUUUUUUUGUUCUUUGCUUUUUCUUUUUUCUUUUGUUUUGGCUGUAUUGAGAUGUUACCACUCCUCACCUCAUCGACACCUCAUCGAGGUAUAUAACAAGCUAACAAAUUAUGGAAAAGUAGGAAAAAAAAAAAAAAUCCAUCCAUCGCUAUACCCCAAGUAUAAAAAUUUUUGGUUUAAAAAACUAAAAGGAAAAGGCAAUUAUCAUGUAAGGCCUAAGGAUUGUGCUAUGUCCAAUGUAAAUUCCAAAUUGUAUAGAGUUGAGUUAGAAUACUAUCGAUAGCAAAUGAGCUCCGUUGCCACUCAUUUAUUUUCGAUGAUGGAGCCUCCAAAUCGAUGAUCGGCACCGUUGAAUAUAAUCUAUACCACUUGAAGUGUUUUCCGAUAUUGUUCUCUUAUUCAUCGAGUGGACACAAAAAUGAACGGCUGAAAAUAAAUAUUCUUUAAAAAGUGAUGAUAGGAGUCUUGUAAUCAAGAUCAAGAGUAUAGAUCUUGUUUUAAAUAGUUUAAAAAAUUUUUCAACAAAAAUUCAAUUGAUUUGGAUAUCUUUACGCCGUUAAACGAGAAAACGCCACAUAUUGACUAUUAAAAUUACAAAUUUUGAAACCCUUUGAUCAUUAGGCAAAUGAUGUCGAAAAGAUUUGAAAUUUGAUUUCUAAACACUUCAAGUGAUAUAAAUCAUGUUCAACGGUGCCGAUCGUCGAUUUGGAGGCUCUAUCAUUGAAAAUAAAUGGGUGGCAACGGAGCCCAUUUGCUAUCGAUAGUAUUCUAGCUCAACUCCAUAUAUAUAUAUAUAUAUAUAUAUGUAUAUAUAUAUAUAUAUAGCUAGACUUGUAUACUAUCGGUAAUACGGAGGCCUCCGUGCUACCAAAUUGUUUUCAAUGAUGCGGUUUCUAAAGCGACAAUCAGCUCUGUUAGACUUGAUUUAUACUAUUAAAAGUAUUUGGAAACUAAAUUUCAUAAUUUUUUGACAUCAUUUGGCUAGUGAUCAAAAGGUCUCAAAAUUGAUAAUUUUAAUGAUAGAUGUGACGCGUUUGUGCAUUUAACGGUGUAAAAUAAUCCAAAUCUGAUAAAAUUUUUAUAGAAAUUUUUUUUUUUCACUAUUUAGAGUAAGAUCAGUAUCUCUGAUCUUAAAUUCAAGUUUUUUAUCAUCAUUUUUUAUGAGAUUUUUAUUUUCAGUCGUUCAUUUUUAAACUACUUGUUUGAUAGGUAAAUAAUAUCGAAAAAUUAUGAAAUUUAGUUCCAAAUACUUUCAAUAGUAUAGAUCAAGUCUAACGAAGCCGAUCGUCGAUUUGGAAGCCGCAUCAUUGAAAACAACUUGGUAGUACGGAGGCUUCCGUGCUACCGAUAGUAUACCAGCCUAGCUCUCUCUCUCUCUCUCUCUCUCUCUCUAUAUAUAUAUAUAUAUAUAUAUAUAUAUAUAUACAUAUACACAUGUGGAUAUAUGUAUACAUGUGUAUAUAAACAUGUAUAGGCUAGGGCUACUAUACUCUUAUGAGUAUAGAGCCCUUCAUAUUCAUAAGUUGUUUUCAAUGAUGGAGCUUCCGAAUUGACGAUCCACUCCGUUAAAUAUGAUCUAGAAUAUUUGAAACUUGUAGAAAAUAAAUUUCGUAAUUUUUCGAAAUCAUAAUAAAGUUCAUCAAGCGGUUAUAAAAUGAACGGUCAAAAUCGAACGAUGUCUUAAAAAUAGAUGAUAGGAUCUUUUAAUUUAAGAUCGGAGUUAUUGAUCUUUAUCUACGUAGUGAAUAGAAUUUUCUAUCAAAAAUUCAACCGAUUUCGAUUCUUUUACACCGUUAAACUAGUAAAUAUCCCAUACCCGCCGUUAAAAAUUGUCAAUUUUGUGACGUUUUGAUCGUAAGGUAAAGGAUGUCGAAAAAUUAUAAAUUUGAUUUCUAGACAUUUUAAAUGCUCUACAUAAUAUUUAACGGUGUUGAUCGUCGAUUCGGAAGCUCUAUCAUCGAAAACAACUUAUGAGUACGAGUGCGUGCGAUCGAACUGAUAAGAGUAUAGUAGCCGAGCUCUCUCUCUCUCUCUCUCUCUCUCUCUCUCUCUCUCUCUCUCUCUCUCUAUAUAUAUAUAUAUAUAUAUAAUUGGACUCUCUCUUUCUCUCUCUCUCUCUCUCUCUCUCUCUCUCUCUAUAUAUAUAUAUAUAUAUAUAUAUAUAUAUAAUUGAGCUCUUAUGCUUUUAAAAGUAGUCAUUGGUGCUUGUAAGUUUUCGGCCCUUGGAUUAAGGGAUGUGCGGUCAGGAUGAUGUGGGCCCUCUAGGGUUGAGUGGGUGGUUAGUUGAAUAGUAUAAUCUAACGGUUGAAAAUGAUCAAAAGCAUAGAUCUAACGAUAAAAAAUUUACAAAUACCAAGUGCUUGAUGCUUUUACAAGCACCAUAGCCGGACUAUAUAUAAAUAGAGUGAGGCUACUAUGCUAUCGGAAGCACGGAGCCUUCCGUGCUUCCAGCUCGUUUUUGAUAUUGCGACUUUCGAAUCGUCGANAUAUAUAUAUAUAUAUAUAUAUAUAUAUAUGUUUUGGACUUUGGUAUUGGCCGUAGCCUGUUUAUCAGUUCAAUGAUGGACCCAAACCAUAAUUAUUUUUUUUUUUUUUUUUUUUUUUGGGACCCACUCCUCUCUCUCUCUUGCUUUUUUUUUUUUCAUCUCUUCUUUUUUUAGAGUGUUGUGGGCCACAUACAAAAAAAUAAAAUUUUAAAUUUAAAUUUAAAUUUAAAUUUUAACUUUUAACCGAGUCUCUUCUUAUUUUGAUUGAUUGUGGGCCGCAUAUAGAAAUUAAAAUUUUGAAUUUGAAUUUAAAGCUACAAUUUUGAUUUAAAGUUGAAUUAAAAUUUUGAAUUCAAAUUUAAAGUUUAAGUUUGAAUCUUAAAUUUGAAUAAUUUUUUAUUUCAAAUUUAAAUUUUUUAUUUUGAUUUUGAUAUUUCAAUUUACAUUUAAAAUUUAUAAAUAUAUGAUUUGGGAAUCAAAAUAAGAGCUCUCCUUAUUUGGGGAAUUUUGUGGGUUUCACAUUCUUUUUUUUUUUUAAUUGAGGGUCAAUUGCACCAUUUGUCUCAAUCUUUGCAUAAUUUUUACUUUAGUCCCUUAUAUAUAUAUAUUUUUUACAAUCAAGUUCUCACCUUUUGAUUUUAUAGCGAUUAUGUCCCAACUGUUAAAUCCCUAUAGUUUCGCACUUUCUUAUUUUAGUACCCUAUGGUUUAAAGUGUAUCAAUUUAUUUCCUUAUUUUGGAGGAUUGUGGGACCCACAUGUAAAUUUUUUUUAUAAAUUAAUCACAUAUUGGUCCCAACCUUUUCACUAUUUUUUAUUUUGGUUUUCAAUCUUUUUUUUUUGUAAUCAAAUUUUCGACCCUCUUAAUUUCAUCGCAAUAAAAUGGCAUUGUUAAAAGAGAUUUUAGAAUUAACGAUAUUCUCAUACUAUCGCCUAUAUAGCUUUCUUUUGCAUGUCAACGUGAGUCUAGUUUUUUUUACGAAUUAAUCGCAUAUUGGUCCCAAUCUUUUUACUAUUUUUUAUUUUGGUUCUUUAUUUUUUUCUUUGCAAUUAAAUUUUCGAAUCUCUUGAUUUCAUCGCAAUAAAAUCGCACUAUUAAAAGAGAUUUUAGAGUUAACGAUAUUAUCAUGCCAUCAUCUAUGUAGCUUUUAUUUUUAUAUCAAUUUUAGUCUAUAAACUUUAUUUUUCACUUCACUCCCAAAAAAUAAAAAUUUAAAAAUUUGAAUUUAAAUCCGAAAUUAAUCUUAAUAUUAAUUCAAAAACUUAUGAAUAUAAAAAAAUCUAUACUCAUAAAAGUAUAGUAGCUGAACUAUAUAUAUAUAUAUAUAGAGUGGGCUGGUAUGCUUAUGGAAGUACGGAGCCCUCCGUGCUUCUAAGUUGUUUUCGAUGUUCGGACUUUCGAAUUGACGAUCGGCUCCGUUAGAGUUGAUCUAGAGUAUUUGAAGUACCUAGAAAACAAAUUUGUGAUUUUUCGGAUUCAUUUGCCUUAUGAUCGAAGGGGCUCAAAAUCAAUUAAUUUUAAAGGCCGUGGUGAGCCGGUUGCAAGUUUAACGGUGUUUGUGAAAUAUCCAAAUCACAUAAAAUUUGAUAGAAAAUUCUUAUAUACCAUAUAAAACAAGAUCAACAACUUUGAUCUAAAAUUUUAAUGUUAUUCUCAUAUUUUGUAAGAUUUUUAUUCAGCCGUUGAUUUUGAGCCACUUCGAUCUGUAGCAAAUGAUAUCGAAAAAUCGCAAAAUUUAUUUUCUAGAGUACUUCAUAAUACUCUAGAUCAAGUCUAACGGAGCCGAUCGUUGAUUCGAAAGUCCGAAUAUCGAAAACAAAGUGAAAGCACGUGCUUCCAUAAGCAUCUUAACCGCACUCUCUCUCUCUCUCUCUCUCUCUCUCUGUAUAUAUAUACAUUUUAAUGAUAAUAAUUUACUAUAAUAAUAGCUUCUCGCGGCAUUGCGCGAGCCCUUAGCUCCUUCUUGAGUCACAUUCAUUGCGUUGGAAUAAUGCAUCUUUUGUACCUUGUCUACAGCUUAGGACAGGAGAAAUUAAAAUCGGCUCAACCACAACUUCAAGUACUAUAUAUACCUACUACCCGACCAGCAUAACUACUACGUAGCAUAACAAUGGACUGUUCCUAAUGUAAGUGGUAAAAAAUUUUAUAGUUGGUAUUCAAGAUCUCAAAUUUGAAUCCUAAUUGAUUCGUAUUUUUGACUAAGUUUAAUUUUUUUAAAAAAGUAAACAAAACGGUAGCAUAUGCUACUUUUCUCUCCCUCUCGAGAAAAAUACACUACAUAGUGUAACAUAACUUGUUGGUUGCUAAUAUACUUUUGAAAAAUAUUUAAAGGUGUCAGCUAUUUAUUAUUGAUUAAAAUAGGCGUAAUUUUCUGUCCUAUGAUAUAGGCUAAAAGAAAACUAAUAAGUUGAAUGCAGGGUUCCAAUUCAUAACUAGACGUAAUGGCAAGAGAUCCAAAAAAAAACCUAAUGUCCAAAUGAGUUGAGUCAGAUCGGAGCCCGUGACUGCCGUGGUCCAGUUCUUAAGUGCGAUAGGUGAGCCUUUUCUAUCGCAGAGAGAAUGCGGAUACUAAGAUUUUGUUUGAGAUCAGAGGAAGAGUAUAUAGCAAAACUUGACUAUAUAAGACUCCUAAUUCGUUGGAAAUAAGAAGAUAUUUAUAAUCAAACUUUGUAUAAAUUGAAAAUCUAAUUUUGACCGUGAAUUUGGAGGCCUAAAUAAUUUUAUAUUAUGGAAGACGCAAAAAAUUCAAAAGGACUUAUAUUUAUUCUUCUCCAAUACUCUAAAAUUGAAGUCACAACUGGCCGAGGGAUGUGUAUUAAUUAAUAUGUGGCUUUUACUUAUUUACUCUCCAUUACUAUUCAAAAAUUUUCAAAUUUAUCCUAAAAUUAUCAAAAUAUCAUUCUAAAUCUCAAUUCCCAUUAAAAAAUCCUAAGAGUUUGGGGAUAUUUGAAGUGGCUUUUGAAAAUAAAUAAGGACAUGUUAGUCAACCAAGAAUAUAUUAGGUAUUUCCUAUUAAUAUUUGUCACCUAGAAGCUGUUUGGUUUUUUGAAAAAGUAUGAAAAAAAAAAUUUAAGAAAAAAAAUUUCCUCAAAAAUUUCUUUUUCAGUCUCUGCCUGUUUGUUUUUUUUUUUUUUUUUUUAAAAUGCUACUUUUUUUAUAAAGCUUCUUUCCAAAUUUCAAUAAAAACUAGCAUUUUUAUUUUUUUAUUAAAAAAAUUUAAAAGCAAAAAAAAUUUUAAAUAUUUUUUUCAAACUUUUUCGAAGAACCAAACACCCCGAAUACUCCUGAAUUUUUGAGGGAAAGAUAGUAUGUUAUCCACUUUAUUUAUUUUUUAAAAAAAAACUUAGCUAAAAAUAUAAAUCAACUAGAAUUUUCGAAUUUAAAAUCUCAGGUACUAACCACUAAAUUUUUUUGCCACUUACGUUAUGAACAGUCAGUCAAUUUGUUGUUGUUGUUGUUGUUGAAAAGACAACUUAGAUAAGCACAUAGGUAAGGUUACUAUUCCCAACCUAGGUAUUCACACUCUCCAACUACUACUAUAUUUACAACUGCGCUCAAUUUAGACGUAAUCGAUAUAUUGACAACAUGUACUUGUAAAGUAGCUGGUAUGUUGACAUUAAAAUAGAUGAUACUGUGCCACCUAGAAUAUCCUAAGUAGUGCACACCUUAUGGUGAUUCUUUUGCUAUAUAAAUAUAUAUAUAAAUACUCCUUUGCACAUUACUUAGUUAAAUCUCCAACCACACAUAUAUAGUCCAAAGUUAAGGGAAGAGCAAAAGCUAUGGCCACCAUAACCUACAAACCUAGCUUGGAGGACAUCCCCCCCUUUCUUAAAAGAAUAUGCCACCUCAGUAGUGAAGCCCUCUAUCAAGUUCUCUCUCUCUCUAUCUCUCUUUUUGUCUCUUAUUUUCUUGUUUUUCUCUCAUGCUAUAAAAUAAUACAGUAUCUGCUCGAGACGAGCGUGUACCCUCGCGAGCACGAGUGCAUGAAGGAGCUCCGCGACGCCACCGACAAGCAACCAUUGUGUGUACAAUCUUUCAUUCGCAUUUUCGUACUUUUGUGUUAAUCGACCGACUAGGGGAGCAAUAACGGUCGAUAUCGAUGUGCAUGCGUAGGCGUUGCAUGUUGACCUCCCCGGACGAAGCGCAGCUACUGGGCAUGCUGCUGAAACUGAUCGGCGCCAAGAAUACGUUGGAGGUCGGCGUGUACACUGGCUACUCCCUUCUGGCCACUGCCCUUGCGUUGCCUGACGACGGCAAGGUAAUCAUUUUUCACACCUCCAGGAGUCUGUUUGGCUCCGCUUGAGCUUCUAUAUACGAGUGCUGCUACAAGUACCCUUAUAUAUAUAUAUCCUAAAAUAUUGCUAAUGCCAUGACAAUAUCAUUAUUACACUUUAGUAAUUAAUUACCAAAUCUCAAUUACUAUUACUAAAUUCUAAGCACCAUUAUUACACCAUACAUUCUAAAUCCUAACCCCUCCACAUGGAUAACCCAAUAGUUCGGUACACCAACAUUUCUAUUUACAUAUAAUAAAAAAAAAAGUUUCCAAUUAAAUCGUCUACUUUUAAAUGUAAAAUUUUUGCAAGAUAAAAUAGCAAAUUGAUAAUUUUACAAACUACAUAUACAAUGGCAACAUGCAGACCGAGUGAUGUGAGAAUCUCCCACCUCGUAUUGAAUAUUAACUGUAUUAAACAGUGAUAGUGUAACGGUCUGACUCACUAGUAAUACCUGGUGGUUAUAUAUAUAUAGACCAAAAUUAUUAAAUGAUAUAUAUAGACUAAAAUUGUUAAGUGACGUGAGAUUCUAAAAUUAGCUCCUAUCAAACCCAUGUUAUAACUAGGGGUGGAAACGAGCCGAGCUCGAGCGAGCUUAUGUCAGCUCAAAUUCGACUUGAAAUUAAUUUCGAGCCUAAAUCUAGGCUCAAGCUCGACUUGAAAUUAAUUCGAGCCGAGCUCGAGCGAGCCUAAUUUCGAGUCGAGCCGAGCUCGAGCUCUAAACGAGCCGAUUGAAAUUCUCGACAUUAUAUAAUCAAUAGUUUAAUUUUUAUAUAACAUUACCUACAAUUUGAUGCAACAUGUCCAAUAGUUCAAAAUACAAAAUAAUUACAAGAAAUGUGAGCUAGGGUGACUGCCUGACUGGGUGAGGGUCCGAGGAAGAGCGAGAGAGAGAGAGAGGGGAAAAAAAAUUAGAAAUUUGAGAAUUUGAAUGUUAUCAUGUUUUAGGGUUAUGUGCAACAGUGAAAGUCUGAAAGAAGAGUGUGUUAUAGUAAAUUUAGGAGUUGGGCUCAAAUUCACGCGUUGUACUUUUGUUGGAUUUAUUUUAUGGACAAUAAAUAGUCAAAUUAAAUUAAAGCUAUCAUAUAAUUAAAAUACAAUAUUAUAUAUAUAUAUAAUAUAUAUAUAAUAUAUAUAUAUAUAUAAUAUAUAUAUAUAGUAUAUAUAUAUAUAUAUAUAAGCACGUAUUUCAAAUUUCGGUUUCUCGAUAGACCCAUUUUUUGGUGGGAAAAAAAAUUGAUUCCUCUUUCCUUACGUAAAAUAAAUAACAGAAUUAAACAAACUGUUAUUUCCUCUUUAUUUUUACAACAGAAAAAAAUUUAUGCUUGUCCAAAUUUUUGCCAAUCGAAGAAUUUCUACUGUGAAUUUUUAUUUAAUUCUUCUUUAUCUCUAUCUGUAAUAUAAUAUUUAUACUAUCUAUCUAUAUCUAUAUUAUCUAUACUAUUUAAAAUAAAUUAAAAUAAUUGUUACGUGCAUUUGCACGUACGCUCAACUAGUAUAUAUAUAUAUAUAUAUAUAUAUAUAUAUAUAUAUAUAUAUAUAUAUAUAUAUAGAAUUGAGCUCCUAUACUUUUGAAAGUAUCAAGUUAUUGAUGCUUGUAAAUUUUUAGCCAUUGAAUUAAGAGAUAUGCGGUUAGGAUGAUGUAGGCCCCCUAGGGUUGAGUGGGUGGUUGGUUGAAUAGUAUAAUCUAAUGGUUGAAAAUGAUCUGAGGAGUAGAUCUAACGGUACAAAACUUACAAGUACCAAGUGUUUGGUGCUUUAACAAGCACCAUAGCUGCACUAUAUAUAUAUAUAUAUAUAUAUUCGAGCUAUUCGAGCUUUUCGAGCCUAAUUCGAACGAGCCGAGUAAUACUCAAGCUCGGCUUGAAAUGAAUUUCAAGCCUUUUAUUUUGUUCAAGCUCGGCUCAUUCAAUUUCGAGUCGAGCUCGAGCGAGCCGAAUAUCGAGCCGAACACGAGCCGGCUCGCUCGUUUGCCAGCCCUAGUUAUAACAUACCCAUGUUAUAACAUUUUGCUUCCAUUAUACCAAAAUAAUUAUCUGGAUACCUCGUUUUGUCCAAACCAUCAAAAUCCACUUUCCGCUGGUAUUCAGAUCUAUUACUAAAAUAACAACCCAGGCCGACGCAUUUGGACCAAAAUAAUUAUCUAGAUACCUCGUUUUGUCCAAACCAUCAAAAUCCACUUUCCGCUGGUAUUCAGAUCUAUUACUAAAAUAACAACCCAGGCCGACGCAUUUGGACCAAAAUAAUUAUCUGGAUACCUCGUUUUGUCCAAACCAUCAAAAUCCACUUUCCGCUGGUAUUCAGAUCUAUUACUAAAAUAACAACCCAGGCCGACGCAUUUGGACCAAAAUAAUUAUCUAGAUACCUCGUUUUGUCCAAACCAUCAAAAUCCACUUUUAGCGGGUAUUCAGAUCUAUUACUAAAAUAACUACCCCGCCGACGUAUUUGGUCCAAACUAUCAGUUUAAUUAUUAUUAUUAUUAUUAUUAUUAAAAUUCAUGAUCAUGAUUUCUUAUAUAUCCAAAGGAUAUUGUACAUUCGUAAUUGAUUAAUAUUUUAUUUUUAUACUGUAGAUAUUAUAUCUAAUCAUAAUUUUAUUUUUUAUUCGAUGUGGGACUAUUUAAUUAUAGAUAGGGCAUCUAACCCCAUUAAGAGAUAUCGUACAUAUAGGCAAUUAAUUAGCAUUUCGUUUUCGUUUUUUUUUUUUAUUUUAUUUUUUAUUAUUAACUGUAGGUAUUGGCUAUGGAUAUCAAGAGGGAGUACUACGAGAUAGGGCUCCCGAUGAUCAAGAAGGCUGGCGUCGCGCACAAGGUCGACUUCCGGGAGGGCCCCGCGCUGCCCAUGCUCGACCGGCUUCUAGAAGAUGUACGUCGGCAUGCAGUUUUUUUUUCUUUUUUUUUUUUUUUUUUUUUUUUGGGCUCAAAUUUCUUUGGGAAAACUUUAAAAACCCCUCCUGUGAUUUCACACUUUUUUAUUUUAAUAUCAAGUUAGUAUCCUGUGGUUUCGCACUUUCUCACUUUAGUAUCCUGUGGUUUAAAAUAUAUCAAGUUAGUACUCUGUGGUUUUAUUUUGUAUCAAGUUAAUACCCUAUGGUUUUAUUUUUGUAUCAAGUUAGCACCGUGUGAUUUUUAAAUCAUAGGGUACUAAAGUGAGAAAGUGCGAAACCACAGGGUACUAAAGUGAAAAAGUGCAAAACCACAUGAUACUAAUUUGAUACACUUUACAUCAUAGGGUACUAAAGUGAAAAAGAGUGAAACCAUAGGGGGUAUCGAAGUUUUCCCAAUUUCUUUUACAACCAAUAACAAGAUAAAAAUAAUAAAAAUAGUAAAUAAAUUGUGAUAUGUAUGUUUAAGCUUUAAAAUUGGCUGUAGGGAUCAAGACGGGCAGAGUAGGCGUGUCAAUAGAUACAGAUACCCAAAAUUUUAUUUAAAUUUGGAAUCGGAACUGAACAGAUUUAUCUGAUACUAAACGGAUAUAGUUUCAAAUACGGGUAGAGAAAACGAAAACCCAACAGAUUUACACUCGGGUAUUGAUUUUGCCCGUAUUCAACCCGAUUCAAACCAGAAUUAAUUUUAUUCUUGAUAUUAUAUUUGAAUUUGUAUUUUAAAAAUUUAAAUUUAAUAUGAUAAAGAGAAAUAAUUAUUUCGGGUUUCGAAUUGUUAGUCGGGUUCAGGUUUGGAUAUGGGUUUUUAAAAUUUGUUAGACUCUAGUUCGGGUUUGGUUUGGGUUGAGUUUCGUGUUUGGUAGUCGUGUUCAGAUCGGGUUUUUAAAAAUUCGCCCCGAAUCCGACUCAUCGACAUUUCUAAUUUGUUUGCUCAAAUUUUUUUACAACAAUAGCAAAAUUAAAUUAAAUUCUGAUCUGUAUAUAAUAUGGAGAGUUUCUUUCUCUAUCUGUUUAAGUUUUAAGGUUGGUUGUCGGAAUGAAAACAGACAGGGAGGGAUUCCUAUCUCAAAAAUAAUGAAAAACUUAAAUUAAGUUUUUCAUUAUUUUUGAUCCCUACCUACUGCUCCGAAUGGGGGAUCGAGGUAAGAGCUCUACCAAUCUGAAUCCAUUUGUAUUUCUAGUUUGCUUAGACUUUUUCAAAAUAAAAAAAAAAACAAAAUUUAAGAACCUCGAGUAAAUAUAUAAAAGGUUAGGGACUUUUUUCAAAAUCGUUUUAAAAAUGAGGAGUCUAAAUAAAAAAAUUUUCAAUUAUUAUUUAAAGACUAUUUGAUUAUAUAUAGUUGCUACUAUAUUCCCCAUAUAAACCUAUGUUGUAAUUCCAGUUUUACUGUUUAAUUUGCUACAUUAAUUAGCAUUUAACUGCUAGAGUUGAACUACAAAAAGGGGAUUAAUUACAACAAAUGAAACUGUACUAAAAUUGACUGUAGUUCUAACUAAUAAUAGCAGGAAAAAAUAAUUUUAAAUAAAACAUAAGGUUACCUACCUAAUUAAUCGCUUUCUAAAUAACUUUUUUUCCCCUCUUUUAGGAUUAAUCUUAUCAUGGCAUAUGUAUAAAAUAAUAAAAUUUGUAAACACAAUUUCCAACCACAUACAGCCAAAUUAAUUAUUUAAUUAUAAAACUAUUUUUCAUUAUAUUUAACCAAAUCUAAUAUAUUCAUGUACAAAUAUUGUAUUUUUAACUGCAUGUAUUUUUAAUUAUUAAAUAUACGAUCGUAUCGAAUCAAACGGUCCUUAAAUUAAUAAAUUAUGUAUUGGUGAUGGUCACUGAUAUGUCACUGUUUUGUCAAUCAUCCAGUUGAAUAUGAAUAUCAAAAAAUGAAUUGUAAAUGAAACUAAACAGUCUUUCGGCUCCUCUCACUCCCUCUCACCACCAUUCUAUAUUAUUGCCUACUUUUUCUUUAAAUUCAAUUAUUAUCUACUCACCCCUACAUUCUCUCUUAUAAGAUUUAAUUAUUAAAUAUUUCAAUUCUUAUUUAGAUAUAUAAUUAUAUGCUGCAAUAAAAAAAGAUGUAUAGCGAUACUUUUAAAUAUCGGUAUAUGUCAAAAAAAGUACUGUUGGCUAAAUUAUCGAUAUUUUUUAAAAGUGUUGCUAUAUGAGGGGUCCCUAUGCCUUCGUUUGGUUCGGGUAUAAGCAAGAACUAGUUAUACCGGGGAUAGGUAUUAGAAUGGAUUUUCGUAGGAACAAGAGUAUUUUUUUAUUUGGAUGAAAAUAUGAGUAUAAGCUGGAACUAGAAAAAUUGUGUGUGGAUGAAAAUCUGAGUAUAAGGUGGAAUAGUUAGAAGUUAUAGAUAGAAAAUAAUAAUUUUAUCUCUAUAAUUGAAUUUAACAUUUUAAACUAAUAAUUUUAAAUUAAAAAUUUUAACUUUUAAAUUUUAAAAUUUGAAAUUAAAAUUAAAACUUAUAAUUUUCAAAAUUUAAAUUUUAAAUAUCAAAUUUUAAAUUUAAAGAUCAAAUUUAAAUUUGAAAGAUAUAAAAUAUAAAAUUUUAUAUUUUAAAUCUAAAAAAUUAAAUUUAAAAUUUAAAAAUUGCAAAUAUCAAAUUUAUAAUUUAAACAUUAAAAUUUAUAAUUUAAAAUUAUAAAUUUAAAUUUUAAAAAACUAAAUUAUAAAUUUUAGAAAUUAAAAUUAAAAUUAAAAUUAAAAUUAAAACACUCUCUCUCUCUCUCUCUCUCUCUCUCUACCUACAACCCGGUAAGUUCCACCCCCCCUAAAUUGUGUUUGGGUACAACAGGGGGAUAACCCCCUUAUCCCCCUCUUAUCCCCCCUCUUGUACACAUUCCAAACAGGAUGUAUAGGUAAAGCCGUUUAAAUAUUUAGCACCUACUCUUCCAGUGAUCUGUGAUGGAGGGAUACGUAGCGAUCGUAAUCCUUUACGGUUUCUGCGAGGUCCUCGCGAUCGAACUCUAGCCGCCGGAACUCUACCUCAUCGGCUGCGACGACGGAGGAGGAGAAGAGCAGAUGAUGAUUAAUUUUUUUUUUUUUUAUUUGUAAUCGGGCUGAGUGGGUUCGGUGUUGUUUGUUGAAUAGAGAAACUUUUUGUUUUGGAUUGGAUUGAGCUUUAUAUUUAGGCUUUAAUAUAUUUUUUUUAAAAAAAUUGGCAUAAAUAAAAUACUUAUAUAAAACUGUCCUAAAAAUGUAUUCCUAUAACCUAAUUUUGUUGUAGUGUAUAUUUUCUAUUCACACAAAUUAGUGCAUGCAUGCAUGCAUGCAGGAGAAGAAGCACGGGUCGUUCGACUUCGCGUUCGUGGACGCGGACAAGGACAACUACCUGAACUACCACGAGAGGCUGGUGAGGCUGGUGAGGCCCGGCGGCGUGAUCGGCUACGACAACACUCUGUGGUGCGGCACGGUGGCGGCCGACACCGAUGCCGUCGCCGCCGGCGGCGCAGGCGCCAGAGUCUUGGCCUACUACCGCCACUUCGUGCUGGAGCUCAACGCGUCGCUAGCUGCCGACCCCCGCGUCGAGAUCUGCCACCUCACCAUCGGCGACGGCCUCACCCUCUGCCGCCGGAUCAAGUGACUUAAAACUAGCAACAUCUCGAUAAUAAGUUAUGAGUAAUGUUAUAUUUACAAUCGAAAGGAAUUGUAAUCUUACAGCUCUACGACAACUAAAAAAAUUUGGUCUAUGAAUGAGAAUGUUGUAGGAUUACAAUCUAGCUAUUAUGGCGAGUUGAAUAAAUGCUAUUCCACCCUUAGAUAAGAGUUUGUAUGAUUACAACUCCUUUUCUUUCUCUCUCUUCAUUGGUGAAUAAAUUAUAGUUCUCUGAUGCGUGCAUGUACUUUCUCACUCUUGCUCUCUAUGUGUAAAGUAACAUAUGGGAGUUAUCUCGUAGGUCAGAGGCUCAAUCUCUCGUGUACUAGUGCUUUCGGACAAGAAAAGGACAUAUAUAUAUAUAUAUAUAUAGUAUAAAUAUUAUAUUAUAUAUAUAAUAUAUAUAUUAUAUAAUUAUAUAUAUAUAUGUAUGCGUAGUAAAUAUACGUCCAAAUGUCCAUAAUAUUAUUAGAAAAAGUUAUAAAUUUUUAAUUAUUUUUUAAUUUUAGGAUAUAUUUUAUAUGAUUGCUAAUAUGUUGUAAUUAAAAUUUUAAAAUAAUAAAUCACGCUAUUAAGAAGAUUAUACUUUAAUGAUAAUAAUUAACAAUAAUCUCUAUGCAAAAAUUACUUUUGAAAUUAAUAGAAAAAUAAAAUCUGUUAGGAAAUAAAUUUUGAAAUUAAAUAGAAAUAAAAUGUUUAUCUUUAAAAAGAAAAUAUAUUUUGAAAUUAAAUAGAUAAUAUCUAAAAAGAAUAUUUUAAAAUAAAUGGGAAACUAUCUUUUAUAGGAUUUUCACAGUAAUUUUGUUUAGAAAACUUAUUUUUGAAAUUAAUAGAAAAUUUAUAUUUUAGGAUUUUCAGUAUCAGUAAUCUGUUUAGAGAACUUAGUAUUCAUUGCUGUUCUAUUUCUAUUUUUAUUCUUAUAUUUAAAUUUUCGUACGGAAAGAGGAAAUGGGCGCUAAUUUUUCCGCCGAAAAUGGGUUGUCGACAGACCAAAUUUGAAUAUAGUGCCUUUAUAUAUAUAUAUUAUAUAUAUAUAUAUAGAUAUAUUAUAUAUAUUAUAAUUUAUAUAUAUUUGUUAGAAUUAUUUAUUAAAAAAAGUGUUUGAGAGUACUAAAUACAAAAAAAGCCUUAUUAUUUAUUAUGUUGUGGUUGUGGUAGACUUAUAAAACCGGUUUGGUUCGCGAAAUUUAAACUUUUCACUAAAAAUUAACUUCUCGAAAAUUUUAUUUUUAUGAUAAAAUUUCUGUCUUAUGAAAAUAAUUUCGUUUGAUAUAUUAUAUCAGCGUUUGGUUCAAUACAAAAAUUAUCCAACUAUAUUAAUAAAAUUUUCUGAAUAUCCUUUUUUAUAGAAAGAGAUUAUAUAUAUAUAUAUAUGUACCAUUUCAUACUGAAUAAAUCAUAAAAAAUCAUAAUUAUUUGAAUAUAAAAUCUAUUAAAAAAUUUCUAAAUUUAGGGGACUUAAAAGUUUGUUUGUCUCUUGUAUCAAUUUAAAUCUUUGGGAUAGAUAUAAAAUUUGCAAAAUAAUAUUUUAGUCUUUUUAAAUCAAAUAAUACAAAAUUCUACUAAGGGAGGAGGUGAGAUUUUAACUCUCAAGAUUUAAGGAAUUAUAAUUAAAAUUCUACAAAAUUUUUUAAUUCCUUCCACGUCAGAUUCCUGUGACAAAAUAUAUACAAAAUUUCACAAUUCCAACGUCCUAUUCUCAAAUAUCUUAAAAAAUAAAAGAAGUACUAAAAUAAUUUACCCAACGAAAAGAGGCAAAAUAUAUUAUGACCCUUAAUUUAAACUGAAAAACAACAAAAUUAAUUAAACGAAACAGAUAAUUCUGGUUUGUUUUGAUUUAAUUUAGUUUUUAAUUCUAGAUAAUAAAAAAAUUUAAAUCAAACAGUUCUUAUUUAAUUUGGAUUAAAAAUUCUGAAAAACCAACCAAGUCAAAAAAAUAAAAAAUAUGCCACGCUAUCAUUUAGCACAUCAAUAUAAUCCUAAAAAUUUGGAACCUAGUUGCUUUAUAUUUUUUUACUAAGUUUAUUUUUUAAAAAAUUUGAAACCCGAUUUCACCUACUAAAUUGAAUUGUAGGAUUUUGACUGCAAUAAUUUAAAAAAUUUAGACCAGAAAUUACUAUAAAUUAGAAUUUAAAGACUAAAGAGUCACACACCUCAUAGUUUGUAGAUGAUCUCAUUAUCUUUAAAAAUUCAAAUAUUCAAACCAAGUAACAAAACCGAAAGCGAAUCAAAAUUUUUGGUUUGGUUUAGUUUUUGGUACUUUUAUAUAAUAUGAGGAUAUUUGAUUGGGUAUUGUAAAUAGUUGGUGUUAUAACCCUAGUUAGUAAAUUCACGAAUUAUUCGCGAAUUUUUUAAGAUACGAAUUAAACGGUCGUUUCCGUAUUUUUUCAAAAAAUUUGAAAAGAAAAUGCGUAUUUUUCGUCAAAAAUAAUUAUUCGUGAAUUAUUCGCGAUUUGCGAAUUAUUCGGCAAAAAAAACGGCAAUGGCGAUCGCGGCCGCUGGUCGCAUCGUCGCCGCUCUCGUCGCCGAACUCAACGGUGUCGUCGUCCUCCUCCUCUUCCGCCGCCCUGGCCGGCACAGAGAGCAAGAGGUCCGCGGGUUGCGUCGUCCGUCUCGCCCGAGGUCGUCUGCGGAAAAUCGCGGCGUUGGAUCGUCGGAAAAUCACGGCGUUGGGACCUCUUUCAUAGAGCCUCGUGGACAGCAUGAGAGGAAGGUUCAAUCUCAUGAUUAUAUAUAUAUAUAUAUAUAUAUAUAUAUAAAAUUUUAUUUAUAAAUAUAUAUUUAUUUAUUAUAUAUAGUAUUUUAUUUUUAUAAAAAAUAUUAUUAUAUAAUAUUUUAUUCAUAAAUUUAUAAUUAUUUAUUAAUAUUUCUAAAUAUAUAACUCUUAUAUAUUAUUAAUAUAUAUUUAUUAUAAUUUUAAAUAUAUUUAAUCUAUAUAUAAAAAUUAUAAUAAUAAUACAUAUAGUAUAUUAAUUAUUAUAUAUAUAGCCGAAUUUUUUAUUCUGAAUUUUUAAUUGGUGAACGUAUAAUAUCCGUAUAAAUCACGUAUCCGAAUAAUUGUCGAAUCCGUUUUUUAACCAUAUUUUUCAACGAAUUUUAAAAUUAAAAGACAAAUUUUAUCCGAAUUAUAUCCGUACCGAAUUUUUGCCGAAUCCAAAUUAACUAACUAUGAGUUAUAACUACAACAAAGAACAUAUUUGAUUAGAUAUUAUAAAAAAGUGCUGCUACAGGUAUUCUAGAUAAUAUCCUACAAUACUGUUGAUGACAUGUCAAUAUCAUUAUUAUAUUCUAAAUAUUAAUUAUUGAAUCUCAAACAUUAUAAUUAAACUUUAAGCACUAUUGGUAACAAACAGGCUUUAUUUCCGCUCAUUUAUUUUCGAUAAUGGAGCCUUCAAAUCGACAAUCGGCAUUAUUGAAUAUGAUUUAUAUCACUUGUAGCAUCUAGAAACUAAAUUUCAUGCUUUUUCGAUAUUAUUUUUUUGUCCAUUAAGUAGACACAAAAACGAACGACUGAAAAUGAAUAUUAUCUAAAAAGUGAUGAUAGAAGUCUUGUAAUCAAGAUCAAGAGUAUAAAUUUUGUUCUAAAUAGUUAAAAAAUUUUCUAACCAAAAUUCAAUUAAUUUGAAUAUCUUUACACCGUUAAAUAAGAAAACGUCUCAUAUUAAUCAUUAAAAUUACAAAUUUUCAUACCCAUUGAUCAUUAAGUCAAUGAUGUCGAAAUGACUUGAAAUUUAUUUUCUACAUAUUUCAAGUGGUAUAGAUCAUAUUCAACGAUCUUGAUCGUCAAUUUGGAGGCUCUAUUAUAAAAAAUAAAUAGAUGACAAUAAAGUUCGUUUGCUGUCGAUAGUAUCUCAGCUUAACUAUUACAAAUAGUGUGAGUUGUAACUGUGACAAAGAAGAUAAUUUUUUUUUUGGAGUUCUUGUAGGUACAAUCACCAAUAAAAGAAUAAGAGAAGUACCAAAAUAAAUUACUUAAAAAAUAUUUCAAAAUGAAUUACAAUCCUUUAUUGGUCUAAAAGCAAUGUCUCCAUGAGUUAUCAACAAACCUACCACCACCAUACAAAUUAGGGUUGUUUGUAUUUUGUACCAAUGUACAAUAAAAAGAAGAUAUUAGUCAAUUAAUAUUGCAUGAUUCUAACUAGAUUAAUUCUUGUCCUUUUGGGUAGUUAAGUAAAAUUCUUUUAUUUCUAUCAUUUUAAUAAGAGAUCUCAUCAAAAUCAAUAGCUUCAUUGCUAUCAUUAUUUGUAAAAAAUAAUCCAACCCAACAACAAAAGCAAAGACAUUAAAUUUACUAAAAUUGCAGUUAAAUUUAAAUAGAAUUUUAAUUUAAUUAACUAAAGUGUCUAAAUUCAAACCAAAUGAAAAGUAAGAGAAUGUUAAUAAAAAGAAAAAGGUUUGUGGUCUAUUCCCACCCUGUGUUAGUAAAUUCGUGUAUAAUACGCGAAUUAUUCGCGAAUUUUUGAUUAUUAGCCGAAUUAAACGGCAUGAAACGUAUUUUUCCCAAAAGUGCGAAAAAAACGCGUUUUUUUCUCCAAAAAAAAUUAUUCGCGAAUUAUUCGCAAUUCGCGAAUAAUUCGCCCAAAAAAUCGGCUCGCGAGUCGGCGACGAGGAGCGUCGUCGUCCUCCUCCGCCGCCGCCCUGGCCGGUGCCUGGAGCAAGAUGGCGCGGCUACGGUUCCCACCUCGCCCGACACCGUCCGUUUUCGCCCAAAAAAAAGGCCCGCGAGUCGGCGACGCUCGUCGUCCUCCUCCUCCGCCGUUGCCCUGGCCGGCGCCGGGAGAAAGAGGGUCGCGGCUACAGUUCCUAUAGUCCCAUCUCGCCCGACGCCGUCUGCUACGUUGCGUGCUGUCCGUGGAAAAUAAAAAAUAUCAAAAGUAAAAAUCGCGGCGUUGCGCGCAGCUUUGCAGGGAAAAGAAUAUCGCGGUCCACGAGGCCACAUCAGCCUCGUGGGCCGGAUGAGAGGGAGGUCUUAUUUCAAAAUCCACCCACAAUCACUCCGCAAAAUACCUCUACUAAAAAAAUACACAUAGACAUUGCUAAAAUGGAAUAAAAAUAUACAACAUAUACAUUUGCAAAAAUAUAAGAAAAUAUCUAGCAUUGACAUAGCUAAAAAUUGAAGAAACUAUCUAACAUAUAUAUAUAUAUAUAUAUAUAUAUAUAUAUAUAUAUAUAUAUAUAUAGAAUUAGGGCUGGAAUAUAUUAAUAGUAAAAUGCUCUUUUUGCUAUCAAGUUUUUAACCCUUGGAUGAAAAAUUAUAGGGUCAGGAUGAUAUUAGUCAGUUAGAGUUGAGUGGUCUCCUUAGGGUUGAGUGGUCAUCACUGGGUUAUAGUAUUUAAUCCAAUGGUUAGAAAUAAUGAAAAAAGGGGAUCCAAAGGCUAAAAAACGUAGCAACAAUAGGAUUUUGCUACUAAUAGUAGCCCAGUCCAAUUCAUAUAUAUUUUCGAAUUAUAUGUACCCGCAGGAUUAAUUUGGAAAACUGGUAGAGAUAUGCAACAGCAACCGUUUUUAUUGAAAACAUUUCUCUAAUGAAUUCCUAGGAACCUCUAUAGUAAAUGGAAUAUACCGAAUUGUGAUCAAUCAAAUAUUGCAAAGUCCCGUAUUUUUACCGUUCGGAAUUGGACCAUAACGGAAUUUCUGUCUAUACCAGCACUAAUAUAAUCAAUUGGGAGGAAGAUCGGAUUCGAAAUUGAUAGAAAAACAAAGAUAUGGGCCCGUGUGAGUAGGAAACAAAAAAUAUCUAUUCUAGUUCUAUCAUCAGCUAUGUGUUCGAAUCUAAGAGAAAUUCUAAAUAAGGUUUCUAGGAAUUCAUUAGAGGAAUGUUUCCAAUAAAAACGGUUUGCUCUUGCAUCUCUCUACCGGUUUUCCAAAUUAAUCCUCGGUACAUAUAAUCCGAAGAUAUAUAUAAGAAUUGGACUGGGCUACUAUUAGUAGCAAAAUCCUAUUAUUGCUACCAGUUUUUUAGCCUUUGGAUCAACUCUUUUCAUUAUUUCUAACCAUUGAAUUAAAUACUAUAACCCAGUGGGGACCACUCAACCCUAGUUGGACCACUCAACUCUAACUGACUAAUAUCAUCCCGACCCUAUAAUUUUUCAUCCAAGAGUUAAAAACUUGAUAGCAAAAAAAACGUUUUACUAUUAAUAGUAUUCCAGCCUAAUUCUAUAUAUAUAUAUAUAUAUAUAUAUAAUUUUAUUCAUUAAUAUUUUUAAAUGAUAUUAUUAAUAUAUAUUUAUUAUAAUUUUAAAUAUAUUUAAUUUAUAAAUAAUAAUAAUAAUAAUAAUAAUAAUAUAUAGUAUAUUAAUUAUUAUAUAUUUAUUAUAUAGCCGAAUUUUUGAUCCUGAAUUUUUAAUUGAUAAACGUAUAAUACCCGUAUAAAUCACGUAUCCGAAUAAUAACCGAAUCCGUUUUUUAGUCAUAUUUUUCAAUGAAUUUAAUAAUUAGAAGAGGAAUUUUAUCCAAAUUAUAUCUGUACCGAAUUUUUGUGGAAUCCCAAUUAACUAACUAUGUUCCCACCUAACCUAUAGUUGAGAAAUUAUUGGCUACUUCACGUGCAAAGGUUGUGGUCUAUUUCCACCUAACCUAGAGUUGAGAAAUUAUUGGCUACUUCACGUGCAAACUAGUCAAAUACUCUUUAUACGCUGCACCUAAUAUGUACCGAACAAUAUUAAAAUUAAAAUCUAAUUUAAUAUAUAUGACCUAUAAAAUUUAAAGAGGCUGAAAUGCUCAAGUAUUAAAUAAGUUUUAAGAAUCGACGAUAAAAAAAAAAGUUAUUGUAAAUCUAUGUUCAUAAUUUAUAAUUUUUAAUAUACGGAAUUUUUUUAAUGCCAUAGGACAUAUUUUUUGGAUUGGAUUUUAAAUUUUAUGCCUCCAUAAAUAAGGAUUUUGAGAAAUAAAUGAAGGUAGGAAACUCACCUAAUUUAGGUAGUUAGUUACUGAACAUUAUAUAUAUAUAUAUAUAUAUAUAUAUAUAUAUAUAUAGAGAGAGAGAGAGAGAGAGAGAGAGAGAGAGAGAGAGAGAGAGAGAGAGUGUGUGUGUGUUAGGCUGGUAUAUUAUCGGUAGCACGGAAGCCUCCAUACUACUAAGUUAUUUUUAAUGAUGCGGCUUUUAAAUCGACGACCGGCUCCGUUAGACUUGAUCUAUACUAUUGAAAGUAUUUGAAAACUAAAUUUUCUAAUUUUUCGGUAUCAUUUACCUAUCAAACGAGUAGUCUAAAAAUGAAUGACUGAAAAUAAAAAUUUCAUAAAAAAUGAUGAUGAAAGACUUGAAUUUAAGAUCAGAAGCACUGAUCUUACUCUAAAUAGUAAAAAAAAAUUUCUAUAAAAAUUUCAUCAGAUUUGGAUUGUUUUACACCGUUAAAUUCACAAACGCAUCACAUCUACCAUUAAAAUUGUCAAUUUUGAGACCUUUUGAUCACUAGCCAAAUGAUGUCGAAAAAUUAUGAAAUUUAGUUUUUAAAUACUUUUAAUAGUGUAGAUCAAUUCUAACGGAGCCGAUCGUCGAUUUGAAAGCUGUAUCAUUGAAAACAACUCGGUAGCACGGAGGCCUCCGUGUUAUCGAUAGUAUACCAGCCUUGCUCUCUCUCUCUCUCUAUAUUUAUAUAUAUAUAACUCUACCCCUUGCUGAAGUAGGUUCAUUUAUUAAUGCAUUCUCACUAGGAGGCCUCCCCUUUUGUAUUCUAUAUAUAUAUGUAUUUAUAUAUACAUAUGUCAGUAUAGCCACACUUUACAUUACAUCUCCAUAAAUUUUAUAUCAAACAAAACCCUAGCUGUGGGAAGCAAGGAGGGCAUGGAGCCAACUGGGAGAGUAACUCUUCUCUAUAGUGAAGCCCUCUAUCAUGUCUCUUCUCUCUCUCCACCCUUACUUUUCUUUACAAAAAAUACUUUGCGUCGUCUCAUGGGUAUUCAUGUAUCUGUUCUUGUGCAUAAUUUACACUGUAUAUAUAUGACACCCUAAUAGUCCCGCAUUACGACAAUUUUAUGCGUGCUAAUCUGAUGCCCAUCCCGUCUCAUAUUGUGCCAGAAUGGUAUUUCGUACAGAUCCUUGCCAUUUUUGCAGUAUAUCUGACAAAUUGGGAGGUGUAGCCACAAAAGCACUAGUUUAUAUCUCUCUUUGCUUUACCUUUUUUAUUUUUAACUUGAUAUAUGUGUGUAGUUCAAGUUUUCGUCCGAUUCAUAUAGGAUAAUAUGAAAGAGUGUUAGGAGCUUAUGUGUGGCGGAUAAAUUAGAACUAAUUAACAACUGAACUUAAACAUUUUGAGCCAAUUGUUUGGACCUAACGAGUUCUUGGUGCUACUAGCUAGGCCUGGUCGUCACAAUUAGUAUCAGAACUGGUUCACUAACCGAAAAUGUGAGGUGGGCUAUAUCUGUGAUUGGUCUGACGAAAAUAUUGGGACCUGAAACAAGGGGAUUAUAUGACAUCACAAGAAUCUUAUAUUGGAUAAUGUAGGAGAAUACGAGAAGUUCAUAUAUGACGGAUACAUUAAAACUAAUGACUGGACUUAAGCUUUUCUGGCCGAUUGUUUGGACCCAAUGAAUUACUAGUGCUAGUCGGCUAGGUCACUACAGUUAAUAUCAGUAUCGGUUCAUCAGCCGAAAAUGGAAGGUAGGUAUCACAUCGCCCAGUGAUGUGGACUGUAUUUGCGAUUGGGCUAACGAGAAAAUCAAGAUCUAAUACUAAAAAAGUAUGUGACACCGAGUGCCAUAUUGGAUGACAAGUAAACUAAAUCAAACUGAUAACUGGACUUAAAUAUAAGCCAAUUCAAACUUGACAUAUUGGUAUGUCGCAGCAUCAACAGUAUAUAAAGACAAUAUUUGAAGCUACUCGUAUAGUAGUACUCUUUCCUUUAAGACUUGAUUGUUCUUCUUGAUAUUUGGUCUGUUCCGACGACAAUUACAGUACUUGCUGGAGACGAGCGUGUACCCGCGAGAGCACGAGUGCCUGAAGGAGCUUCGCGAGAUCACCAGCGAACACCCAUGGUAGUUCAUCCUCGCUAGCGGAGUUUAUUUGUAAUUUUUAAAAAAUAAAUAAGAGAUUAUUCUGAGCAAGAUCACGGUCGAUGAUCAGGAAGGUCAUGUCGACCACCCCGGACGAGGGGCAGUUCUUAGCCAUGCUAGUGAAGCUGAUUGGCGCGAAGAAUACGUUGGAGAUCGGAGUGUACACUGGCUACUCGCUCCUCGCCACCGCCCUCGCCCUACCCGAUGACGGCAAGGUACUUACUUCAUUUUGUUCUAUACUAAAGACAUUAAUCUGAUAGAAAAUAGUUUAGAAACAAUCUUUAUAAUCGAUGAUUGAUCUUCUUUGAGUAGUGCAGCUAGAAUACUAUCGAUAGCUGAUAAACAGUGGUUAUCGUCAACUUUUCAGUUCUUCGUUUCAUAAUAGUAUUACCACCAAAUAGUAAAUCCUAGUCUAAAUAGAUAGUAAAUACUAUUUCUGUACUAUAUAUCAAUAGUAUUCUAGUUUCGCAUCUUAUUUAAGUUCAUUUGUGCAGAUACUGGCGAUAGAUAUAAAGCGGGACUACUACGAGAUGGGCCUGCCGGCGAUUGAGAAGGCCGGAGUGGCGCACAAGAUCGACUUCCGCGAGGGCCGGGCUUUGCCCAUGCUUGAUCAGCUGGUGGCAGAUGUAAGAUCAUUCCCACUAUGAGGAUUUCAACAAGUGUGACCUGAUUUCGGGCCGGGUUAAUUUGAUCCGUUCGGGUCCGGGUUUAGCUCCGUGCCUAUGUAUGAGUUCGGGUCGGGUUAAGAUCCGUGCUAAGGUUUCAUGUGCCGCUCAUAUUGUUUUAAGAUUUACACUACUAGUGAAAAUCUUGAAUCUUAAAGCAGCAUGAAUGGCAGAUUAUGUGGUCUCACGGUUAUGAGAGUUCCUAAUAAACUUUCGUUCUGCCGCAUAUGGAUCUGAACUGGAUCAGGAGAAGGCGCACGGUUCGUUCGACUUCAUCUUCAUCGACGCGGACAAGGACAACUACCUCAACUACCAUGAGAGGGCGCUGAAGCUGGUGAGGCCCGGCGGCGUGAUCGGCUACGACAACACGCUGUGGAAGGGGGCUGUGGCGAUGCCGGAGGACGCGCCGAUGGAGAAGCCGCUGCGCCACUACCGCGGCUACGUGCGGGAGCUCAACGCGGCGCUCGCCGCCGAUCCCCGUGUCGAGAUCUGCCACCUCACGAUCAACGACGGCCUCACUCUCUGUCGCAGGAUCGAAUAAAACGAUAACGGAGUUUCAGUCUGGUGCUCGCCAUUUCGUCUUAUACGUCAAUCAUUCAGUGUACUAGGGCUUUGUGAAGAGUUUGGAUCGACAGUAAAAGAUAGGAUGGAGGGCAGAUAGAUGUACGAUGCGACCGGCGAACAAGCAUGCUUUAAGAGUUAAGAAUCAAACUCAAAACUGUGAUAAAAAAUUGCAAUAGUGGUGCAAUGUGACUUGUUUGAGAACACAUUCAUUUUCACAAAUAAUUUAUUGUUACUCUCUCCCACCCUAUCACCACUAUAAUGUAAUAAUAAAUAAAUAAAUAAAAAUGAAGAGCCUGUGGCAGGAGUUUACAUACUAUUUUCUUCUAGUGAAGUGGCUAUUUUUUCAAAAAAAAAAGAAAAAUAAUAAAAAAAAGUCAUUAGUUUUUUUUUCCUUUCAUAACCUACCAAAAGUAAAGAGGUUAGCAUUUGAAUCAAUGAUCGACACCGUUUCACGUGAUUUACUUUAUUUGAACACUCUAGAACUCGAAUUUUAUAAAUUUUCGAUAUCACUUAUCUAGUAUCUAAGUGGUUCCAAGGUUGACAACUUUGAAUAGCCAAUAAAAGGUAAAUUUGAGACCGAUAGAUGACAAAAUAAAUACGACAAAAUAAAUACCGUCGUAAAACGUAAAACUUACUUUAUGUAAAGUCUAAAUAAUCUAGAUCAUAUUUAAUGGUGCUAACCAUCGAUUCGAAUACCUCGUCACCAGAGAUAAUGUGAAAGUAUACGAGGAUUUUUUUUUUUUUAAGGAAUUGCAACAGAAUCAAAAGAAUUAAAAUGGAGUUUUCUUUUCCUUUUUAAGUCAUGGAAUCUCUUUUUUUUACUUUCCACCACAACAGAAACUCUGGAAAUCUGGAAACCUUAGUUAUGUUUGAAACAAGGAUCUGGAAAGACUCAGAUUAAAUAAAGGAAAAACUUCAAAAAACCCCUCUAUGAUUUCGCACUUUCUCACUUAAGUACCCUGUGGUUUAAAGUGUAUCAAUUUGUCCCCCUCUAGUUUUAUUUUUAUCUUUUCGACAACUUUUUUCUUAAUAUUUCGUUAAAUUAUAUACAAAAAAUUUCAGAUACACACCUAAAUUUAUCAAAUAUUUACUUUAGUAUCCUUUAAUUUUAACUUUGUCAUUGAUUUAAGAAAAAAAUAAAAUAAAAUAAAAUUGAUAAUAAAUAGAAAAAAACGAAACCACAGGGAGCAAAUUGAUACAGUUUAAACCAUAGGGUAGUAAUGUGAAAAAGUGCGAAACCACGGGGGGUUUUGAAGUUAUCCCUUAAAUAAAUGACUCAAUUCAACUCAUUGGCUCAGAGAAUUUGUGGUGUGGUGAAACAAAAACACAAAUCAUAAGAUUCAUAGCACUGCUCAAGGAGACCAUAAAACCUUAUUGUAAUGAUAACUAGAUCACACAUACACACACAAAAGGUUCAAAAGAAAAAAAAGACCAGUAUGGUGGUUUUAGGAUAUGGUAAAAUAAUAGUGGUAAGCUUAGUACAGUGCAAAAGAAUUCCAUGUUCUGUUCAGAAUCCUCAGAAAAUAUUUAGGCUAAAUUAUAUAUAAAAAAAAAAAAAAAAAAAAAAAAAAACCAUGCACUUAAGCCAUAACUCAGGCCUGCAAUUUGCCAUCAUCUCAAAUAGAUUCAAAAUUUUAGAAAAUUGACAAAUUAGGUUGCGAAUUUUACUAAAACGAGUAGGAAUAUCAUGUUAUUCCACACCUCAACAUCUAUUUAUUUGCAACUUAAAAAAUAAAUAAGAAAAAAAAUCAGAUAAAAGAUAUAUCCUAUUUUGCAAAUACUAUCAGAAUUGAUAGUUUAUUGAGCAAUUUUACUCAAUUUAUAUAAUUUUAUUGCAUUAUUUAUAAGUAAUUUUAUUUGCAAUCUUUGUUCUUACAAACAUCCAAAUAACUGGACCUAUUUGAGAUAAUGGCAAAACGCAAAGCGCAAGAGGAUAAUUGAUGCAAUUUUUAAUGCAACAAGGUAAUUAGGACAAGGGCUAAAGUGCAUGGGACUUUUUCAUAAUUUAACUAAAUAUUUAUGCCAAAAGCUCAUCCUACUCAUAAACUAAUAAUAUAGUGCUCAUUUUAAAGUGGUAUUUUAUAUCAUUUACACACAUAAAAUUAGCCAAUGUGAAGCUAAGAGAUAUACUCCUUUUUCACAUGUAAUUUAACCCUAAACAAACAAUCUAAAUAAACAGUGUUAUACAAAACAAUAGUACUACACUUUCAUCUACUAACUCGGUAGUAAACAUAUUAGAGGAAAUCACAACAAAACCAUGGAGAAAGAAUGCAGUAAAAAUGCAAAUUUUGCCAUAAUUAAUACCAAUUGUAACUUGACUGAAGAAGUAAAUACAUAAUCUGUAGGUGAUUUAUUUACCAAAAGAAACCACAGCCGUCAGAUUAAGAUAGGCGGCAAAAUCGAUUUUUUUUUUUUUUUUAAAACCAACAUCCUUGCUUGAUAAUCCAAGGAACAUGGAAGUAACUUAUGAAGCUUAUGGUUUUAUAUUAGUCGAAUAAGAGAGUUAAAAAUAAAAAAUAAAAAAAGUACCGUCCGAUUCUACUUAUGUCGCUAGAGCGGUGUUCUUGCAAAUAGGGCACAAGUUUUUCACCAUUAGCCAUUGUUUGAUGCACGCAGUGUGGAAGUCGUGCCCGCAAUCAAGCAAUCCGAGGUCCUCCCCAUCAACAUACUCUUCCUGAGAAAAAAAACCAAGAUACAGAAUAUAAAAUGUAAUGUACUCAUGAGCUUGUUUUGUACGAAAUUAGAUUGUUUUUUGUUCUUGUGUUGGUCCGUUGGCUGAGAAAAUUUAGUGACUAAGGAUAUGUUGUUUUAGUUUUUGUUUUCCUUAGUAUUUAUCCAAAAUGGAAAAGGAAAAUCUUCAUAAAAAAUCUGAAACUAAGGAAAAAAAAAAGAAGCUAUUUUCAGGAACAAUUUCUGAGGAAGCGAAUGAACCAUAAGGAAUAGUUUCUACCCGGCAAAUACAGCAUGGUUCAUCAACUGCCGAUUCUUUUGCAGUCGCCGAUGAAUAUUUCCGCCGCCUUAGAUGCUUCAUUACCAUAUGGUCGCUCAAUCCAGUAUUGACGUUUCCUAUGCGUUCUCCUAAUGCCAAUAAUUCCUGCAGCAUAGACAAUGUUGGCUUAACAGGCCUUUAAAUCUGAGGAAUGAUGUGCUAUGAAGUGAUGAUACUAACCUCGUAGGACAUGUUGUCUACAUCGAGCCGCAUGUCUCGGUGCCUAUCGUGCACAUCCACACCCCUAUAAUGACGCUGGUCAAGAUAAAGACGAAUUAAAGAGUUACAAUUAUGCAAAUCAUUGGGAAAAAGAAAAAGAAAAAAAAUCAAAUGAUGAUAAUAACCCAUAAGAUGUAAUUAACAGCUCCGUUAUGAAUGAGAGAUGCUGUUAAUGAAGGUUGAUGUAUUACUAAACUUCAGAGAAAGUCUAUCGACGAAAGAAUGUCUUGGACUUAGGGAUGCAAAUGGAUUUCGGGUUGGUGGAGCUCCCGCCUUGAUUCACCUCAAAUAGGGAGGUAAAUGGGGGUCAAAAAUAAAGAAAAAAAUAACCCGCUCCAAUCCGCUAAGAAAAUGGAUCGGGAGGCAGGGAACCCCUUUCUCCAUUUGAUCUUUAUCCCAAUCUGUCAAAAAUUUGCUUCCGCUACAACCUGCCCCGGAUGGAGCAGGAAGUGGGGGAAAAAAAAGGGGUAAAAAUCAACCCGCCCGGAAUACGCCCUAACCCACCAAAGAAACGGGGAGGGAGGUGGGGAACCCCUUCCACUCCCGAAUCCACCCGGUUCGGAGUAUUAGAUUUAUGUAUUAUUAUGUACAAUGGAACCAUAACAAAUUGCUUCGGUUUUGAUUUGAUGUAAUUAAGCACUACAACCAUAAAAUUGAAAGAAAAAAAAAUUAUAAAUUGCAUUCUUCAAAUCGACAAGUGUGCAUUUAUGUUACAUUCAAGUCAUGUAAUUUCUAGUUGCAAUGUGCUGCAAAGGGUCGUGUUGUGCAAUUUCUUGUAUUUUACAAUGAUUCUAGCAGUGGUUACAUUCUCAAACUUUUAACUGGUUAUCUCCGAAGACGGAUAGAUUUUUAGGAGCUCCUUCAAAAUUAGGUAUUAAAUAAUAUGAAACAAUCAUUGUUCUCCAAAAAAUUUAAGCUACAAGAAAAUGAUGCUUUUAAUAUGCAUAUUCAACAUUCCCCCUGAUGUCCAGGCUCCGGAUAUUCUGAUAGGCCCAAACGUGGAAUUGAAUUAAAUGAAAGGAAAUUAAUAAUACAAGGAGCCCGGUAGGAUUCGAACUUAGAAUUUCCUGCUAUGAUACCAUAUUAAAUAAUAUGAAACAACAAUUAUUUUCCCAAAGCUUAAACUCCCAAAAAAUGAUGUUUUUAAUCAUAUUCAACAUUAGGGUUUAAAGUCCGUCGCAAAAUUCCUUUAAUCCAUUCUACAUGAGAAAAGUUGAGCCUAGAUAUCUAUUUGAUCAAGAAAUUUCAAGAAGGGCUGCUGGAAUUUUCUCAAGGACUAAGGGCAGCAGCUCUUAUUUGUAGAAAAGUGGGUUGGCUGUGCUUCCGAGUCGUGUCCUUCUUUCAUGUAGAAAAGAAGUAGAUCACUGUCGAACUCCAUUAAAAAAGAAGUAUCUGAAUCAUCUACUGUAACAUGAAAGAGAAAUGACUCAAAUGUCCGUAAACUCAUAACACAAAUUAGGAGGUACGCGGUUGAUUAUAACACAAAUUAUUCAGGUAGUUUUUCUUUUUAACUUUUGAGUUUGGUAGUGAACUACUAGGAGCUAAAAUUCAUGGUCUCGCUUAUUUCUCGCCCCAAGUAUUUACUUUUGCCAAAAAAAAAAAAAAAAAAAAACUCCUGUGACGAUUAUGUUGAAAGAUGAAUCUGGUCGCCAAUGACCUGUCCCUCAUCCUGAUCAAUGGUUGAGCUCUAUGUUCUUAAUGAUUCGACCAAUCUGCCCAGAAACUAGGGAGCGAGACUAUAACAUCUCGGUUUUAGCUAGAAACAGUAAAAAGAGACCACAGUUUCAUAUGGUCAGUCAGCGACCAAAAUAACCUGUAAAAGAAUAACUUAUGCCAUUUUCUUUAUCAUUUUUUGCCCUUACACUGAUUAAUAAAUAAUAAAAUUAAGUUAACUAUACACCUGAACGAAGUAUGCACACAUACCGCUUUCGUGUAUCAAAAUCUUGCACAACGCAUGUUGCUAUUGGUUUUCCAAUUUUCUUCCUGCUUUUUAAGAUGUUUUGCAAUUUUAUCGUCUAUGUAGGCAACUAAAAUCCAAAAUUACCAACAUUAAAAAGUCUUAGCAUGAUCUUCGAUUAAAUUCAUUGACUCAACCAACCGUAAACACCUAUAUACCAUUUCUUUCAGUGGCGCAUAUAUCGAUCCUAAUUGGUCUGUGAGAAAAAUAGUUGCAUGGAAAUUGGAGAUGAAUUAUAAUAAAAUUAGAAAAGAACUGACCUCAACUCGUAUGUUUUCCCGUGAGCGCCUGACUGGGAAAGCAUUCUGAAUUUAGCAAAAUAAUAAAGAGUAUAAGCACUACCCAAAAAGGAAAAAAAGGGCAUGAAGUUAAAAGCAUAUUCUCUGUCUAGAUUGAUCCUAGUGAUGGACAUAUUAAGAUCAUCUAACUCAAAUUCCUUGCUCUCUAGCAAAUGUUAAGAAAGAUGCAAACUAAAUCGGAUACUAGUAAAGACAAAAUCAUUUAAUCUUUUCGAUUGACAAUAAAUUACCUUUUCCGAUCUAAUGAUGCAAAAAGCAUAGAAAUUACUAAGUUGGUCCAGGAAGGAUAAAAAAAUUUCUAGAGAUGGUUUACGAACACACUUUUGGCAUUUGAAAUAUAUAGUGAAAUUUUGCAACUAAAUGAUCAAUCACUUCCUACAGAAGUGCAACAAAGUAGAUCGCCAUGAAAAUCACUCUUUUGGCAAUCAAAAUUUGAAUUUUCUUAUAGAAAGUGAAAUAACAGGAUGUUGCUACUACUCUUUACCAUACCAUUACUUCUAACCACAUGAAAUAAAACAUAUGAGAUUGUAAUAGCUAAAUUUCUAACAACCAUACUGCGAUAAAAUACGUGUAUCGUGUUCAAACAAUCAACAAGGAACAAAUACAAGCAUACAACAAAUAAAUUCUUGGAGAAAAUAUGUGAAUCUAUGAAAGUUCUAUUUGAAGACACCGCACUUAAACGAUAUAUGAAACUACUGAAAAGCUUAUGUGAAGGGUGUAAAGAUAACUAAAAAACAUACCUCCAGUAAUAUCCUCCUCCUUUCUGGAGUGACACCAGAAGCACCGUCAGCUCGGUCCAAGAAAAUUUGCUGCCUUACAUGUGGUGCAUAAUAACCGGCCAAAGAACCUAUUUCCGGUAAGUUAACAGCGCGAACAGAAUGUGAUUGAGGAAUAUUGCUACUCUGACCCCCAGAUUCAGAUGAAAACAUGGGUUGGGGAAAAGUCAGCGGUAUGCCCUGAGGAAAUGGUAUGGGCAGAUUUUGGUGAGAAGCCAAUCUGGGUUGUCCCACUGGUGGGCUAACAAACGUAUUCGUUCCGGCUUGUGAUGUAGAGGGAACAUUUCCCCCGAUGAUCACACCGCGAUUAGCUACAUUCCGGAUUCUUGGACGGUGUAGCCUAGCAAAAUCCAAAGAAUUAUGUACCGCAAAAUUUAUCAUCCUCUCUUCUAAGGUGAGAGAGCUUGAGGAACCGCCACCUCUCGAAGUGGAAGCUCCAUUCGCUGGAAGUACAAGACGAGGACUUGGUGAGGUUGAACUGGUAACCACUGGCCUCGAAUCCCGUGGCUGAGUAAAGGAAAUGGGAGCCGGAGAUGAUUGAUUCUGCGAGGUUGAACUAGUAACUACCGGUCUCGGAUCCCCUGGCUGAAUAAAUGGCAUAGGAAGUGAAGAUGAUUGAUUCAGCGACCUUGCAGUAGAAUCCCGCAUAUUAAGCGGAUGAGAGGUUUCACUCAGUUGGGUAGAGUUCAUCCAUACGCCGCAAUUUCUUUCUGGCGCAGGCUCGAUCGAAGGGAACUUCACCUCAGUAGCAUUUGUAAAUCUUAGAUAAUCCAAUGGGUUUGGUAUAUUUGAACUUGAACCAGCAGAAAGAUUAUAUUUAGCAGAAGAUGACGACGGUGAAUCAUGUAAACCGUUCUUGUUUUGAUGAAAGAAACUUGCGCUUCCGCUUGUGGAGGACUGUCCUUGGAAACCCUCGAUGUUUUUCCUCUUGCAAGAUAAGCGACGGCCAUCCCUUGAACUCCCAGAGGAACUUUCACCGAAGUUUAUAGAACCAAAUGGAGAAGGACAAUGUGCCGAAUCUGAUAAGACUGGGCUGUUAGGAUGAGGAUAUAAAUCAUAAAAGUCCGCGCAAUCGCCAAUUGUUCCUACAUCCUGGGGGUAGUCAUUCAAAUUAGGUCUUGGUGAUAAAAAUAGCUCUUCGUGAGUUUGGCCGCUACUAAUAUUUCGAUUCAUGUAUUCUGCCAACUGUGCGCUUGCUGCUUCUUCCAUUUUUGAGAGCGCGAUUUCAUUUUCAUCAUGGCCUCCAUGAUACGAUGACUGCCCUCUAGAACUAGCUCCAUUUGAGCUCUGGGCGAUUAAAUUUGGAAUGCUUCCAUUAGCAAUGUUCAUAUGCAACAAAUUAUUCUCAUCGUAAGACUCAAGAUAGUCCUGGAAAUUCUGUAAUUCUUCAGGACUAGGAAACGUGCCGAGAACUUCAGGGCAAGAUUCCAUAGAAUUCGUUUGCCUUUGCAUUAGGCUCGCUGUUCUCUUGAGCUUCGAUAGAUCCUUCGAAAAUUUAUCUGUCCAACAGCCAUUUCUGAUAAUUAAAAUAGAAAGCCCAAAUUCGGAAAGUAUAUACAUGAAGCAAUUUUCUUUCUGUAAAGAGCAGGAUAAUGAGUACAUGGGUAUUCACAUCCGUAGAUAGGACGCAACCCUUUCCUAGGAAAAUGAACAUAAUUUGUGACAAUAGAUCACUUACCAUAAUUUCUUAAAGAAAAACAACAACAACAACAACAAAAGGACAUCUAAGCACCGAGUUGGUGCUUAUAUGGACAAAGAGGGUUAUUUUGUGGACAAAAAUAUGAGUAGGGUAUAUUUUGGGACCGUUCGAGAAAGGUACCAUUUGGGUCAGAUGCAACUCCAAGGAAAACGUGAAAAUAAAAUGCGAAAAACCUCAUGUCAACCUGCUAAGGCCAUUUUCGUGCCAGUUGCACGAAGAAGCAUGUUACGCAAUGCACGCAGGGCCAACACUGCUCAUGCUGCUACCAUGAGAACCCUUGACACAGAGUUACGAUAAGAAUUCGUCUCAAGAUAGGAAUGGAGUAAAUUGUUCAUCGUUAAUCAUUUAUUUACAACUUUUCCCUCUUAGAACAUCAAUAUUUCAAUGCAUCAAAUUCAAUUCUCUAAUACAAUAAACUUACAAUAUGAAUUUUUUUCGUCAAAUUCUAAUCUGAAAUCGUAAACUCUGCCCUUACAAACUCCUAGAGGAAAACUAGAAGGUUACUAUACCAUCACUUGAUUAAGGGUUAAACAACUAUACUUUUUAUGAUAAUAUAUAUUCAUGCAGAUACAUUUACAUUUACAAUUAUAAAUAUAUAAGAACAUACACAACCCUCAACAUCAACAACUACAACGACACAUGCGUGGCGAAGAACAUAUACAAGAAUGUAUACAUACAACACGUAUAUAACGCUUCAAAUCGCCUAGUUUUGAGAUGUCUACAAUUUGAUAUGUUAAAAUACUUGCACACAAACACUAAUUACAAAGGCCUAGAUUCAAAUAUACCCGAAAAAGUUUUCAAUAAGUUUGAAGCGAAUAACAAACACUGCAAAUAUAUUCAUAGCAUUCAAAACUAAAAUUGUAGUAAAAUAGAAUAAAUUACACUACAGCUCUAUUAGAAACCGAGGAAUCUCGUCAAUUGAGGGGUUCCUACAGAAACAUCAUCACCAUAAUAACACCCCCCCCCCCCCCCCCCCCCCCGAAAAAAAAAACCCCAAUUUAGUGCAGAUCCCAAAAAACUCCUCUUUUUUAAAUUUUUCCCCAUACAAAACAUAGAUGAUAAAUGUUGAGAUUAAUAUAAAAAGAAUACAUAGCAAAAUCCAUCGCAGCACCAUUAGAUUACAUAGCAAAUCUAUAAAAUAAACAAAAUAGAAAAGAAAAAAACCAAAUACACAGGAAGAAUUAGAUCCAAAAAAGCUUGUACCUGAAACCGAUCUAAUCGCCCGGACGAUCCAAACCCUAAAGGAACCUCCUCUCUCUCUCUAACGCUAUCAAAAUCGCACCUUUUCCCCAAUCCUCAUAUAAGGAGGGAAGAGAAUAAAAAAAAAAGAAAAAAGGAGAAAAAAAAGGAAAAAAAAAAAAAGCCCAAAGAGAGAGAGCGAGAUAGGCAAUAGGAUUAAUAGGCGAAAAAGAAGAGAUUAUUAUUAUAUUAUAUUAUUAUAGAGAAUAAAUCGAUAAUAAAUUAUAAAAAUAAGGAAUUGGGUGUGGAUUAUAAUUUAUUUCCCCUUUUUCCCCAAAAUAUUCGCGCAUAAGUUUUUUUUUUUUUUUUUUUUUUUGACUGUUUAUUCGCUACUAAGGGAUGUGGUUGGAUUCGGUUGCUUCAAAUUUUUAAUUCGCUAGGUGAAGGAAAUUGAGGCAAUUUGCACCACAAGUCCCUAACUUCUAGCAAAUUUUAUUUUAGUUCUCAAACUUUAAAUUUUGGAAAACUUCAAAAACCCCCCCUGUGGUUUCAUGCAUUCUCACUUUACUACCCUGUGGUUUAAAACGUAUCAAUUUGCCCCCCUGUGGUUUCAUUUUUAUCUUUUCAGAAGCUUUUUCGUUAACAUUUCGUUAAAUUAUAUACAAAAAACUUCAGAUAACCAUCUAUAUUUAUCGAAUAUUCACUUUAGUAUCCUUUAAUUUUAACUUUGUCACUGAUUUAAGAAAAAAAUAAUAAUAAAAUUGAUAAUAAAAAAAGAAAAACGAAACCACAGGGGGGCAAAUUGAUACGUUUUAAACCACAUGGUACUAAAGUGAGAAAGGACGAAACCACAGGGGGUUUUUUAAAGUUUUCCCUUAAAUUUGUGCAUGAAAUAUAUUGCGCUUAAUUUCAAGUGGCUUUCUAUAAAGAUGUUGAAUAAUAUAUAAAUUCAUGUGAAGCUUAAGUAAUUAUAUUUAGGAUUAUCUCUAUGCAAAUAUACCUUUCAGAAGUUCUGAUACGUUUAUAUUUGUUUCUAUUAUUUAAUCCACUGUUAAUUUUUUUUAGAAUUAAUUUCACACAGAUCUCUACAAAUAUAGUGAAUGAUAAAUAUAUUCCUACAAAGUUCAACUUUCAUAUGUUGUUUUUACAAAAGUCCUAAUAUUUCAAAUAUGUCUCUACCGUUAGAAUCCGUUAAAAAAAUUUAGUUAAUCAUAGAUUAAAUACUUAACCCUAAUUAGUUUCUGACAUUUUAAUCCCUUUAUAUUAUAUGUUAUAGUUUUUAAAAGAAUAUAUUUGUGGUAGUAAAAUUGAAAAUAUAAAUAGUUCUUUAACGGAAAUAAACCAGAGGGAUAUAUAUUUAAAAAUAUCAUAAUUUUUGCAUGGACAACAUAUAAAAAUUAAAUUUUGUAGGAAUAUAUUUACCAUUUAUUAUAUUUGUAGGAAUCUGUAUGAAAUUAAUUCUUUUUUUAAGGUAGGUGCGUGAAAUGAUUAUUUUAUUUUAUAAUUUUGUCUCUUCAAAAAUUUAUCUUUCCUCCUCUCUAUCCUCUCGUCUUCACCGCCGACCUAUCUUUCUUCCUCUCUUCCCCCCAUCUUCACUGCCGACUGCACGGCGUACCACGCCUUCGUCGCGGUUGAGGGCCUCGCCUUCACCGCGAGCAAAAAGGAGGGGGAAGAGAAAGAUGAUGGAUGUCAGCAUUGGAAUACAAAUUAUAUUUAUAAGAGGUAAAAAGGUCAUUUUAUUUUUUACUCGUGGUUUUUUUUUUUUUUUUGAGAGAGAGAGAUAGGUAGUAUGCUAUCCGCUUCGUUUAUUUCAUUUAGAAAUAAACUUAGCUGGAAAUAUAAAUCAACUAGAAUUCGACCUUGGGACCUCAGGUACCAACCACCAAGCCCUUUGCCACUUGCGCUAAGGACGGUCGGUUCUUUUACUCGUGGUUAUCAAUAUUUUUAUAACAGAAAAAUAUAUUUGCAGACGGAAGGAUUUUGAUCACUUAAGUUUUAUAGAAAUUUAUCUGCUAUUUGAUCCCUUUGCAAGAAGUCGUAUUCAAUUGUAUGAAUACAUUAUUACCGCUGAAUAUAUUACUACCUGCAAAGAAGCCGUAUUUGUUUGGUCAAAAGUGAAGAGAGCAAAAUUAUUUUCACUCGCAAAAACCCGCUUGUGUUUAAGGGUGUCAGUGGGUUUGAUUCGUGGUGGCUUAUAAAAAAUCCGAACCCAAACCCUAUAACGAAAUUCGAAUCCAAAUCCAAAUCCACCGGAUUUUGAAAAUUCAUACCCAAAAUAGAACCUAACCAAAAUCUCAAAACCAAACACUGAACCCGAAGACCAGAACAUAACACAAGCAUUUGUAUUUACCCUGUUUCAAAAUAUGUUAUAUUAAAAUGUAAAUUUAAAAACAUAAAUUAAAAUAUAACAUCGAAACAUUCAUAUUAUAACAAUAUAAUAAUGUAAAAUCCAUUCGGGUUCAGAUUGGGUACAGAUAAAAAUCAUACACCAACUAGAAUUUGUUGGAUUUUUAUUCUUUAUACCCGUAUCAGAAAUCAUAUUUGUUUAUUAUUGGAUAAAACCGUCCUACUCAGGUUAGGAUUCGAGCAAAAUUUUGGAUAUUCGUACGUAUUGACAUCCCUACUUGUGUUUGUUUAGUUUGUCGUAAAUUAAAUUUGUUCGAAACUAUACUUUUUCAAAACUCCGUAAUUAAAUAAAGGAAAAAACAACUAUUGUAACUUUUUUUCAUUCUCGUAUUCGUAUAUGUUACUGUCAAAUUUUUAGAUAAAAUAAACAAACAAGUGAGAUAAUUAUAAUACGAAAGCUAUUGACAUACUAUCAAAUAAACGGCGAUAAAAAAUUAAUUUUCUAUACCUGAACUUCAGUUCAAUUGAAAGUCAUUUUACUUAAAAAUUAGUUACAGACGAAUAAAAAAGCGCUCCAUGUAUCUUUACAUUUAUUUACACAUAUAUUUAUCAACUGUCUUUUUCAUUUUAUAUUUAAACUCUAUCAUUCAAUGUUGAGAUAUAAAUAUAUAUUUUUUUUAUAAAAAUUGAACCAUUCGAAUUGAAAUUAUGAGAUGGAUGGAUGUAGGAGUGAUGAAAAUGGUAUAAUAAUAGGGAUGUCAAUGGGUACGGAUAUCUAAAAUUUUAUCCAAAUUCGGAUCCGAACAGAGCGUACUUAUUCGAUACUAAAUGAAUAUUGUUUCGAAUAUGGAUAUAAGAAAUAAAAACUCGACGGAUAUCGAUACGGAUAUAGAUUUUGACUGUACCCAAUCCGAACCCGAACUCUACCCGAAUCGAAAUUUAUUUUACAUUAUACAUAAUAUGUAUAUGAAAAUUUAAUAUUAUAUUUGAAUUUAUAUUUUAAAAAUUUAAAUUUAAUAUAAUAUAUUUUGAAAUAUUGAAAAGAGAAAUACUUGUUUCGGGUUCAGAUUUUUGGGUUCGGGUUCAGGUUUGAGUUUCGGGUUUGGAGUCAGGUUUGGGUUUGGAUUUUUGAAAUCCGCCCCGAAUCCGACCUGUUGACAUCCCUACCUCUACUGCUUGCAGUAUUUUAUCUCGUAGGCCAUUUCAUCAAAAUGGGUAAGUAAUGCUUGAUCUAGAUCAGAAUCAGAUCGGAGAGGUCGACCGUUCUCGGUCCGACCAUCAUCGAAGGUCUCGGGUCGCCUAUUCUCGACCUAUCGGUUCGAGUUCUUGUCAAAACUAGAGCUUCGCGGUGUAAAAAGACUCUGAUCGAACAAUUUCCUCACCGAUCUGCGCCUGAAACACAGUCAAAUCGCUUUCAUUUGGAGACAAGGAAGGGCAACUAACACAGUCCUACCAAAUUAUGGAUAGCAAGACCUUUCAAUGAGACCGACCCUUCCUAGAGCAAGUGGCAAAGGGCUUUGUGGUUGGUACCUGCGACCCAAGUUCAAGACCUUUCAAUGAGACCGACCGGCCCUAGAGCAAGUGGCAAAGAGCUUGGUGGUUGGUACCCGAGACCCAAGUUCGAAUCCUAGUUGAUUCACAUUUCUUGCUAAAUUUAUUUUUAAAUGAAAUAAACGAAGCGGGUAACGUGCUACCUAUCUCUCUCUCUCUCUCUCAAAAAAAAAAGACCUUUCAAUGAGCGAAAGUUAAAUUUUCCUCUUUCAAUUAUACAAGAAUAUUUUCAUACUAAAUAAAUGAAAAUUAUCAUCGAAUCGAAUAAGACCUUAUAUACUGAAUAAUAUAGGUGAAAAUGUAUAAAGCUUAUCUCAACUAUUACUCAUUUGGAUUUAACUAUCUACUUUUUAAAAAUUUUGAUUUUACUAUGUGGCUUUUUAUUUUAUUUUAUUUCAUUUGAGCCAUAUAGCGAUUAUUUAACUUUAAAAUUUGAAUGCGCUGUUUAUUUUUACGAAUUUAGGUUACAUACAAUUUAACUAACGAUAAAUUCAUUAAAUAACCAAUUAGUUUAAAUUUUGUAUCUUAAGAACCAUCAGAAUACUUAAAUCAAACCAAUUGAAAGAUUUGAUACUACAAUCAAAAUUUUAAAAGGUCGGAUAGUUAAAUCAAAAUAGUUUAUAGUUCAGAUAAGUUUUAUACAUUUUUACCAAUAAUAUAUCCUUAUAUCCAAAUGGGGCUUUCACUUGUUUGCCCCUUACUACUAUUGAAAGUUUUUAAAUUUCACCUUUCUAAAACCAAAUCCCAUUAGUAAAUUCUAAAGAGAAAGGCAGUAUUUGAAUUUUUUUUUUUCAAAAAAUCAAUAAAAAUAUUUUGAUUAUCUAGAAAUAAAUAGAAAAUAUUAGAUAGGAAUAAUAUUCAAUAUGCCCAUCAAAACUUUAAAAAUAUAGUAUUAUUUCUAGAGGAUCAAAAUAUUCUUAUUGAUUUUGAAGAUUUCUUCAAAUAUUCCUAUUUUUUCUAGAAUUUCCUAAUAGAUUGAAUUUAGAACGGUAUUUUAGUAAUUUCAAAAUAAAUCUGAAAAUUGAAUCAUAGUAAAAAAUAAAUAAAUAAAAGCCCUUAUUAGAUAUUAUCCUCAUUCACAUAGUUCCAUCCUUUUUUAUUUACUAGUAAAGAACCCGCGCUUCGCGGCGGAUAACCAAAUAAUGGUUAGUGUAUCUAAUUUCUUGUAUUAAAAUAAAAAUCAAAAAGUAAAUCUAAACAGAACUGAUAUAAUAAUUUGUUAAGCGAAUAACAAAGUGCUUACAAAACAAAUAUUAGAAGUAUAUAAAUAGAAAAUUUUAAAUUAUAUUUAACUACAUGCAGACAUGUUUAAAGUAGUUAGAUUAGUGGAUAACAAAGUGUCUAUUUAUAAAUAGAACUAUAUAAAUAGAACUGCAAUUCUUCAUUUCUGACUUCAUCUGCUUGAGGAGCUUCAUCAAACCUACAAAUCAACAAGAAUAAUAAUUAGAUAUGUUUUUUUGGUAUAAAUGAACAGCACGUGAUUAAAUACGACAAUUAAUUUACGUAAGACAAGUUGGGUCAAGUCGAUGUCUUUUGGCAGGUUGCAUUUCAGAUAAGUCCUCAGCAAGUUGUUCAGAACUGUUCAUAAAAAAAACACAUGAAAAAAUUUUAAAAAAUUACAUUCUCUCAAAAUAUUCUAAUAAUAGAAUUUAUAGCUGAAUUACCUAGUAUGAUGUCCAGAUCCCAAAAGCCAGUAAGUAUAGAAUGCAAAUUAAUUUGGAGAUAUAGCUAAGACAUUGCCAGUGUAUUAGUUUCAUCAAAAAAUGAGUUAUAGACAACGAAGUAAUACAUUUUUGUGUAGCAAUUUGCAAACAAAAGAGUCAAAUCUAAUCAGCUGUUUCAAUAGUUCAGACAUGCGCACGCACACACACAUGCAUCUCUCUCUCUCUCUCUCUCUCUAUAUCUAUACUAUUAUAUAAAAGCACGUAUAUUCAAAUUUGGGUCUGUCGACAGACCCAUAUUUCGGCGGGAAAAUUAGCGCCCAUUUUUCUCUUUCCGUACAAAAAAAAAUUUAAAUAUAAGAAUAAAAAUAGAAACCCUAAUGCAUACGUAUGUUCUCUAUAACCGAUUACUUAUAUUUUUCUAUUUUAUUUUAAAAUAUCUUUUUUAGGUAUUAUCUAUUUAAUUUUAAAAGUAAGUUUUCUAUAACAGAUUACGGGUGUGAAAAUCCUAUAAAAGAUAUUUUUCAAUUUAUUUUUAAAAUAUCUUUUUUUUGAUAUUUUUAGUAUGAAAAUCCUAUAAAAGAUAACGAAUUUUAUUUUUUCUUUUUUAUAUUAAUUUUCGAAUUUCAAAAUAUCUUUUCUUUUUAAGAUAACAGAUUUUAUUUUUCUAUUUAAUUUCAAAAUAUAUUUUUUUUUACAUUAAUUUCUGCUCAAAUGUAAUAUAUAAAUUUAACAAAUAUUUAUAAAUUUUUGAAUAAAUAUGAUUUACAAAUAUUUAUUGAUUUAAAAUAAAUUAAAAUAAUUGUUACGUGCAGUUGCACGUACACUCAACUAGUAUAUAUAUAUAUAUAUAUAUAUACUAGCGAUGUACCCGCGCUAACGCUACGGUCUACGGUGCACCAGGUGCACCGUAAAUAAUCGAAAGACACGUGGCAAUAUAUGAACCUAACUCCACGGACUUUAGUAUAUAGUAAUAGAUAGAUAUAAAAGAGCAACAAUUAACACACACAAAACAAAAACAAAAAACCUAAAUAAGCUGAGGCUCAGGUAUUAUUUCCAUCCAACCUUAAAAUAUAGGUUCAGGAGGAUACAAUGAAUAGGAAGAGUUGGUUGCCUAUAAAUUAGGCCAUCCAAAACCCUGUUCUCAUUUAACACAGCAAGCACAAUUGGAGAUUACACCCACCCUUAGGUAUCGUUUGGUUCGGGGAUAAGCCAAAAGUGACUAUUUCAGGAAUAGAUAUAAAUUGAGGCAUAAGUGGGGAUUAGAUCAAUUUUGCGUUUGGACGAAAAUUUGGUUAUUCCUGGAAAUAAAACAAAUAGCGUUUGGUUAAAUAAGAUGGAAUAAGAAGGAUAGGCUGAGAAGGAUUUAAUGAAUAGGAAGAGUUGGUUGUCUAUAAAUUAGACCAUCCGAAACUCAUUCCUCUAUUUUUCAAUCACCAUAGCCUCAAAGACAGUAGUCAGGAGAAUUAGAGAAAAUAACGAAUUCCAAGAGUUGAUUGCCUGGAAAUUAAAACAUCCAAAACUCUUCCCUCAUUUUUGCAGUCAUUACUGCAGCAAAGACAACAGUUAGCAUGAUUGGAAAUUAGAGAACCCAAAAUUCAUCCGUCGUUUUGUUAGUAGUGUAAAAACAAAACACACACCACACACACACCAUGUAAGGGCUGAAUCUAAUUAGUUACUUUCUUCUCUUUUUUUUUUGAGAAAGAGGUAGCAAGCUACCUGCUUCAUUCAUUAAGCGAAAUAAAUUUAGCGUACAUAAUGGAGACAGCUAAGGCCUCCUACAGAAACCGGCAAAACAACAAAAAAAAUAAUAAAAAGCAGUAUAGAUAUGUAAACAAAAGCCCGACUUGAGCUAUUAAAGAGCAGUUACGGGACAAUCGCCUCGGUCCAAGUCUUCGUUAGCGCAGCUAUCCGUCCAAUUGCACGGGUAGCGUUCGGAGUGUCCUCGUUGAAGACGAUCUUGUUGUGCUCCAUCCAAACUACCCACCAGAUUGCCGCCAACCGUGUGAACCUUAUCGAUCUUUGUUCAGCAUUAGGGGAGUCCGCAGUGUCGGUCCCAAGUUGCUUAACGUCCCCUGUUCUUAAAUCGCUGACACCCAAUCCAUCAACGCUAAUUUGGAGGUAUCUAACAAAAACGCAAUCCUUGAAAAGGUGAUCGCAAUUCUCAGGUGAGAAUGAAUAGAAAAUGCAGUACUCAUUCACCGGGCACCCUCUGCGUAUCAGUCUAUCAGCGGUAAGUAAUCUCUUGCGUAGUAGGAUCCAGAUGAAUAUUUUGNUCGCAGGUUUUCUCCUAAUUCAAUUUCCAAGUCCAACAUGUAUAACCUACUUAAUUUAUUACCACAUGCUCCAAAUUCAGAUUUGCAAUCUACAAUAUAAUCCAUGAAUUCGAGCUAGAAUAGAGUAUCCAAAAGUCGAAAAUAUACAUGCUGACGAAUAUGAACUUAGGAGUAAAAACCGAUGUAACCCACCUCGACAGCGACCCACGCACCGGCGCGACGUCGAGAACGACGAAAAUGCACCCUCGCCCGGCCUCCAACGGCACUACCACGACGCACGCACGCUCCAACGGCUCGCAGGCGCGAAGUUGACGUCGCUCCAAUCUCCAACUAUAGCCUCCACGAGUUCUCCACUUCCAACUAGAGAGAGAGGGAAAUUACAAAUCACCACUAUCCCUCUGUAGGCCACAAGAUAAGGAUGCAUAGGGGGUGCACGUGGCAUCCAAAGCCACCCCCAUGCAUCACCAACCGACUAAAAAAAUUUUAAAAAAUAAAUAAAUAAACAAGGGUACUACAUAAAGAGACUUAGAUAAAUAGUCAAGCUGCAAAUAAAGGCUGAAUAGAGGAGCACACCUUUCUGUAACCAUUUUGCAAACAAAGGGUUGAAUCUAAUUAGUUACUUUCAUAGUUCAUUUAACACACACACAUAUAUUUAAGUAUCUAGCUAAUUAGUUACAUUCAUGAUCAUAUAUAUAUAUAUAUAUAUAUAUAUAUAUAUGUAUACACACACACACACCACACACACACACAGAGGUGUAUACAUAUAGAGUUGAGCUGGAAUGCUAUCGGUAGCAAACGGGCUCCGUUGCCACCCAUUGUUUUCGAUGAUAGAGCUUUCAAAUCGACGAUCGGCACCGUUGAACAUGAUCUAUAUCACUUGUAGUAUUUAGAAAUUAAAUUUCAAAUCUUUUCGACAUCAUUUACCUAAUGAUCAAAGGGUUUCAAAAUUAGUAAUUUUAAUGGUUGAUAUGAGGGGUUUUCUCGUUUAACGGUGUAAAGCUAUUCAAAUCAAUUGAAUUUUGGUUAGAAAAUUCUUUAAACUAUUUAGAACAAGAUCUAUACUCUCGAUCAUGAUUACAAAAUUUCUAUCAUCACUUUUUAGAGGAUAUUCAUUUUCAGCCAUUCAUUUUUACACCCACUUGAUGGACAAGAAAACAAUAUCGGAAAAGUAUGAAAUUUGAUUUCUAGAUACUUCAAGUGGUAUAGAUCAUUUUCAACGGUACCGAUCGUCGAUUUGGAGGCUCCAUUAUCGAAAAAAAAUGGGUGGCAACGGAGCCCGUUUGCUACUGAUAGCAUUCCAGCUCAACUCUAUAUAUAUAUAUAUAUAUAUAUAUAUAUNNNNNNNNNUAUAUAUAUAAAUAUAUAUAUAUAUAUAUAUAUAUAUAUAUAUAUAUAUAUAUAUAUCUCAGGCCGAUGAUAUGAUAGAUAUCAUGCCCUCGAGGGCAUGAUAUCAUAACAAAAGCUAGAAGCCCGCAAGUUUAGUUGCUAGGUGUGGCAAUUUUAACUAGAUCCCAUAAAUUUCAAAAAUCUUUAUUUUAAAAUAUAAAAAAGCUGUAUCAAAUGAAAUACUAGUUUUGUAAAGUUUUAACAGUUUAAAGUUACCGAUAAUACUGCUCAAACCUCAAAUUGCCACAUCUUCUUAGAUUUAAAGAAGUUUAAAACUAUCUUUUAAGAAAUUUGAUAUAUCUAAUUCCAAUUGUAAGAACUAGAACUUAAAUUUUCAGGAUACGAGUUUAAAAUUUCUCAUAAGUUAAGGGUGGCAGAUAAAACUGUAUUAAAUAAAUGAUUCAUUUGCUAUAGCUUUUCUUGAUUUUAAAAUAAGGACUCUUGAAGUAUAUGGGAUCUAGUAUAAAUUGCCACACCUAGCAACUAAACUUGCGGGAUUCUAGCUUUUGUUGUGAUAUCAUGCCCUCGAGGGCAUGAUAUCUAUCAUAUCAUCGGAUUAAGUAUAUAUAUAUAUGUAUAUAUAUAUAUAUAUAUAUAUAUAUAUAUAUAUAUAUCUCAUUCCGAUGAUAGGAUAAUCAUCCUAACCCUGGGAACAGGAUAGUUCAGCUAAACUAACUAGCCUUGAAGUUUAACUAUUAGCCGUGGCAACUUUAACUAGAUGUAUUAAUCUUUACAAAUCUUUGGUUUAAAACAUUAUAAAUUUUUAAUAAUAGUUCAAGUAGAAUUUUCAACUUUUUACUUGCCAGUAUUUACUUAUUGGAAGAAUUUUAUCUCCAAUCUGAAAGAGUUGAAUAUUAGUCUCAAUAGUUUGUAAUAGAUUUAUCAUAUUUCUUAAAAGAUAUUUUUUAAGUUCCUUAAACCUAAUGAGAUGUGGCAAUUUGUUCGUAUACCGAGUAUAUCCGGCAGUUUUUAACAGCUAAAAUGUUGUGAAACUAGUGGUACAUUUAUUAAAAAUUUUAAAUACUUUAAAUCAAAGAUCUAUAAAGUUUAUGAGAUCUAGUUGAAGUUGCUGAGGCUAGUAGCUAAGCCUUAGGGAUAGCAGUUCUUGUUAAACUAUCCUGUUCAUGAUGAUAGGAUAAUUAUCCUAUCAUCGGGAUCGUAUAUAUAUAUAUAUAUAUAUAUAUAUAUAUAGAGUUGGACUGGGCUACUAUUAGUUGCAAAAUUCUAUUGUUGUUACCAGUUUUUUAGCCUUUGGAUCAACUCUUUUCAUCAUUUGGGACCAUUCAACCCUAGGGGGACCACUCAACUCUAAACUGACUAAUAUCAUCUUAAUCCUACAAUUUUUCAUCCAAGGGUUAAAAACUUGAUAGCAAAAAGAGGGUUUUACUAUUAACAGUAUUCCAGUCUAAUUCUAUGUAUAAAAGUAUAGAUGCAACCUAAUUUGCUUAAAUAUAGACCGAGAAGGAAACAAUGUAUACCAAGAGUUGUUUGACUAUAAAUCACACCAUCCAAAACGCAUUACCUCGUUUUUUCUAUCAUUACAUGAAGCAAUUUGUUCCAGAUUUCAUCACCGUGUAAUUAAGUUCGUGCAAGGGAUAAGCAAUUUCAUAAAGAGCGCCGACAGACAUAGUCAGGUAACAUAUAAGUGCCCUGCAGCCUGCAUAGUGCCUUAAAGACAGCAGCCAGCAGAAGUGGAGUGAAGAAAAUAUAUUCCAAAUUUCGUCAUUGUGUAAUUAAGAUUGCGUAUGGGAUAAGCAAUUUCAUAAAGAGUGCUGACAGACUUAGCCAAGGAACAUAUAAGUGCCCCGCAAUUUGCAAGGGAAGACUAAAACCCAUCCUCUUAAGUGUAGGUAAGUAGCAAAAAACAAAAGGAUGAUAAAGAAAACAGGGAAGUUGCAAGCAGUAUAGGCGUGCACACACACACUCACAUAUAAGUAUAGAAUGCAGCCUUAUUUAGGGAUGUUAAUGGAUAUGGAUAUCCGAAAUUUUAUCCGAACCCGAACCGAAUAAAACGGAUAUAUCCGAUGAAUAUGGAUAUAAAAAAUAAAAAUCCGACGGAUAUGGAUUUUGAUUGUACCCGACCCGAAUCCGAACCCGACCCGAAACCAAAUUUAUUUUAUAUUAUAUAUAAUAUAUAUAUAAAAAUUUGAUGUUAUAAUUGAAUUUGUAUUUUAAAAAUUUAGAUUUAAUAUAAUAUAUUUUGAAAUAUUAAAAAAAAAAUAAUUAUUUCGGGUUCAAAUUUCGGGUUCGGGUUCGGGUUCGGGUUCGGGUUUCGGAUUUUUGGUCGAGUUCGGGUUUGGAUAUGGAUUUUUAAAAUCCGUCGGGUUCGGGUUCGGGUUCGGGUUCGGGUCUUGGGUUUGGAGUCGGGUUCGGGUUCGGGUUUUUAAAAAUCCGACCUGUUGACAUCUCUAGCCUUAUUUGAGACUUAGAUAAAAAGUCAAGUUGCAAAUAAGGAGAAAAUGAAGGAGCAAACUUUUUCUGCAGUAAUUUGCAAAUAAAAGGCUGUAUCUAAUGAAGCACCAAAGGAGGAGCUGAUAGCGGUUGCCCGCAAGCGGGGCCGUCCAAAUCUGCUCGGCAAUGGCAAAGCCUUUGUCUCACUUGCAUAUCACCGGGGCCAAAAAAAAUUUUAAAAAAGCCACCAAUAAUUUUAAAAAAAGGAACGAAAGCAUAAGACAUCUCCACCAAUAAUUAUAAAUUGUAUAGAUUAUCCCACCUUUAUAUUUGAGAACAAAAACAAACUAUACUGUUCUAAAAAGCUUAACCUAUUUAUAGAAAAAUUAUAGAAGGUCAGAAGAGAAGAGAAGAGGAAGACUUAAGACAUCUCCACCAUCUCUCUCAGUAGAUUCAAAAAAUUAAGAAAAAAUAUAGCUAUCACAUCGUUACUGUCGAAUCAGUGGGCUGGCAAAGCCCUCGGCGAGCGUAGCAACCGGGACGAACGGAUCGGCCAAGUAGGGUAGGUGUAGGAGGCCCUAAUCAUGAUGUCUACCGAUGGACAGCUCAGGCAUCGGAGGAGCGGAUGGAGGAGAGGAUGGAGGUGAGAGAGGAGAGAGAGAGAGAGAGAGAGGUGCUUUGGGCAUCGGAGGAGGCACGCGCAAGGAUCGCGCGGAGGGGAAGGGGAAGAGAGCCAUCCGAUCAACAAAAUGGAGGGUGUAGAUUCAGUGUCUUUUGGGAAAGGGAAAGGGCAUAUUUUGGGAAAGGGAAAGGACAUAUUUCGGGGCCUUUGGAUUUGUAGAGAAGUGUUGUAAACCGUUGGAUCUGAAACAAAAGAAGAGGCAACGAGGACAUGCCACGUGGCGGAAUAGUAGUCUCAAAUAGUAAGAUGGUAUAGAUCCUGCUUUGAAGCUAAUAUAAAAAAAGAAAAAUCCUUUUAAUAUUCCAAGUUCUUUCAAAUAUAUACCCAAAGUUAAAUUUUGUUUUAGUGAACGGUUAGAAACAGCUGUUAUUUUUAUAAAAUUACCAUUUUACUCUUUCAAAUAUAUUUUUCUACCGCCACCAAUUUUUUUGUUUGCCCUUAAGUUAGAGAUAAAACAAAAGUAUUUUAAUUUUUUAUCCUUUUAAAUAUAUUUUUCUAUCAAAACUAACUUUAUAAUGGCUUAAUCGAUACUAACAACGAGGUUAUUUUUGAAUAAUGAAAAAAAAAUACAAAGAUUAUAUUUGAAAUAAAAAAUAUAUAUAAUAUAUUUUAAAAAUUUUGAGGGUAUAUAGGUAAUUACCCCAUUCAAUUAAGAUGGAAAUGCUAUGUGGAAUUAAGGAUGUCAAAUGUGCACGGAUUCCUAAAAUUUUAUUCGAACCCGAAUCCGAAUAUGAACGGAGCGGAUUUAUUCGAUGUUUAACGGAUAUGGUUUUAGAUAUGAAUAUCAAAAAUAAAAACGUAACGGAUAUGGAUUCAGAUAUAAAUUUUGAUUUUUACCAGACUUUAACCUGAACUUGAUCCGAAUCUGAAUUUAUUUUACAUUACAUAUAACAUGUAUAAAAAAUUUGAUAUUAUAUUUGAAUUUAUAUUUUAAAAUAUUAUAUUUAAUAUAAUAUAUUUUGAAAUAUUGAAAAGAUAAAUAAUUAUUUGAAGUUCGGAUUUUCGGGUUUAGAUUUGAAUUCAGAUUUCAUAUUUUUGGUGAAAUUCGGAUUUGAAUAUAAAUCUUUAAAAUUCAUUGAAUUUAAAUUUAAUUUAAAUUUAAAUUUAGAGUUAGGAUCGAAUUUAAAUUUUUCUAAAUUUAUUUUGAAUCCGACCCGUUGGAAUCCCUACGCGGAAUGGAGACACGGGUCUAAUGUUUUUUGCUGGGAGGUGUAGCCUGCACAGCUCCACUGCGGGCAGACAUGUACGGCGAAGCCGAGUGACUGUCUGCCGCCUGCAGCACCCCCAACAAAAAAAUAAACCUUCGGCAGUGACACGUCGCUCGAUGGCAGUCUUCUCUCCGGGAAACUGGUCACGUGGGACAGCUCCCCAUUUGGUCGGUUGGUGAGUAAUGUACUAAAUAAAAAUGUUGGUGAUCAAGAUUCAAUCCCCCUACCACAUCCCCAUCCCCUUGCAUUGGAAAAAGGUAACUCUGUACUAUAGCACAGAGUGUACUUGUGCUUUGCAGGAAUGCAAACGGAACGGAUCUGGGGUGGGAGCUUCGUCCCGCCUCCCGCCCCGAUUAGCGAAAUUCUGUCACUCCUCUCAUCAUGAAUCCGUGACAGAUUAAAAAAUAUAUUCAAUAAUCCGCACUGCCUUGUAACCCGCUUUCUGGCGGCGUUCCGAAUUCACGACGCCAACUAAUAUUUUUUAUAAAAUUAUAAUAUUAUUAAUAUUUUAUAAAAUAUAAAAUAAUAAUUUUAAUAAUAUUAUAUAUAUAUAAUUUAAUAAUAUCAAUUAUAAAAAUAAAAAAUAUCAAUCAUAAUUUAAAAUAAAAUUUAAAAUUUUCAAAUAUAUUAGAAAUGAGAGUACUAACUUAUUUUUAUUUUUAACUUUUUUGAAGCAAUACAGUUUACAUCUCUAAUCCUCCCUUAUGCCUCAUUUUAUACCUAUCUCUGGAAUAGCCACUUUUUUCUUAUUCCCGAACCAAACGGUACCUUAAUAUAUAUAUGAUGGAUAAAUAGUUUCUAUUAAUGGAGAUGUUAUGUUAUGCACAAAGAGGUAUAUAGUGGAAUAAAUUUAUAAGCAAUAAUUAACAGUUAUUAUAUAUUCUAAGGCUAAAUUACAGAAAACCUCCUGUAAUAAUCCGCUUUUUCACUUUCCCCCCCUGACAUUUAAAAAUCUACACUUUUCUCCUCUGUAAAAUGAAAGAUGUUCAUAGGGGAAUUACGGUGUGUAAAAUGACUAUUUUGCCCCUCGCCAUUGUCGUCUUCUUCCCCAUCUUCCUCAGUCGCCCUUCGUUCGGCCGCGAUUCCCACCUCAAUCGGUCGCGAUUUCUCUUCAUUUCCUUCUCCACCUGCUCCCCUUCUCCUCCUGCACCCUCGCCGCCCUCGAUUUCGGCGACAGUAGGAGAAAACCGAGGUGGGCGACAAUAGGAGAAGGGCAAAGAAGGCGAAGGCGAGGCAGCGGAGGACGGCGAAGGGAAUGUGGGUGAGGGCGAUGCAGUGGAGGACGGCGAGGCGGCGAGGCGGCGGCGAGGUGGCGAGCCGGAAGGAGUCGAAGCAACAGGGAGAUGACGGAGGGGUAUUUUCGGCAUAAAAAUAUAUUUUUUAACGGAACCCUGACGGAACCCUAACGGUAGGGGUGAAGUGCACAUUUUUUAUUUUACAAGGGAGCAAAGUAUAGGUUUUUAAAUGUCAGGGAGGGAAAAUGAAAAAGCGGGUUAUUAUAAGGAGUUUUUCUGUAAUUUAGCCUAUAUUCUAAUCACAUGCAUUUGCUUUUUUGUUGGUGUAUGAUACUAAUUCCAUGACACGCUUUGCUCAUGACUUUUAUUAGCUUCUUUAUCUGGAAUCUUCUUCUUCUAUUUUAUUUUUCCCAAAGCCUCUCUUCUCAUUGCAUGAAUUCUCAUUCACACUUGCUUUUUUUACAUCAACUUUGGUAAUAAAUUAUUAUUUAUUAUGUUCACAUGGAAUCUAUUACAUCUCGCCAAGUUUAGUCAAUAAAUAGUAAUCAAGUUUAACGAAUUAACUUUGAAUAUGCAAUGUACAUGUGAAAUCUGAACAUACACAUAUUGGAAAUCAGAUAAACCACGUAUAUAGUGAUACCAGAAAAGAUAAAUAACAUGUGUAGCGAGCAGAAUGCACAGAAAAUACAGAUUAUCUGUAUGCCAUGUUACUUGAAAGAGCGAAUUAAAUUUUUCGUUUUAAGGAAAUAGAAGAUCACUUUUCAAAUGGCUUUGAUGUACCCUUCAUGAUAGAAAAGAGAGUUACAAUUCAUGGUGGUGGGGCCAUGCAUGGUUUAAAAUAACAGUUGAUGCUCCCCCCAUGUCCAUGAACUAGUAAUGCUGGAAAUCCAUGACAUUACUUGCUAACCACCACCUUCACAAGAUUGAUUUCUUUUUUUGUUUUAUUUUUAUUAUUGCAAUGAUAUGUCUCAUCACAAGAUUAGCAGGUCAGGUUCCUAAAGCAAAGCUGUGAAGGGUUUGUUGCUUUUUGCCCACCUUAUUCAUGUAUCAGCUUGAAAGGCCAGUACUCCAUUAUUGUAGGAUUUAGAGGUGUGUUUGGUACGGCGGAGCUCUAUUCCGUGCUCAUCUAGGGCAAAGUCGUGAGAUCGCACCAUACGCAAAUUCGCCGCCCUGUGAGACGGAUUCGUGCAUGUGGGCCAUACAAGUCCCACGAAACUUGACUUCUGCAAUUCCGUCUGAACGCUCGCGAACUCCAGUUAUGGAAACUCGGCCACUUCGACCCUGACUUCGAUCAAAACAGAAACAGACACGCCCUUAGCCUAAAAUUAUGCCCAAUUAGAUAAAUUAGUAAAUGGAUUGAGUUGUAUGACCCAAACUUAAUUGAUCAGCCUAAACUAAACUUCAGCUGGAUCCGAGUCGGACCCGAACCUAGAUUGAUUUUGCACAGAUUCUGAACUCGAGAAAGGGCCCAAAACAAAUUUGCUUCCAAUGUCUAAUUAGAUUGGGCUUGGAAUGUAAUAACAGGGGUGAGCCCAAUCCUCUUGUAUCCUGAUCCAUGGGCUAAUUUUGUAGAUAUAAAAAAUAGCAGCAGCUCUAGAACUUCUAUUGCAGUAAAAAAGAAAAAUAUGAUCGUAAAGUUCAAAAGUAAAAGCUCUAAUUAUAAUUUUUACUUUGCUAUACAAUAAAUUUGUCGAAAAAAAAGGCACAGUAAUAAUAUCUUUGCAAACCGGUCGAGUCAAACUUGAUUUGAACUCUUAAAAUUCACGGGCUAAAUUCAAAAUUGACCAAACUUCAUGGUGGGUUGGAGUCAUGUUCAUGGUGUUGUAAAAAAUUUUAUGCCACUUUCAGCUCACCCCACUUUAAUGAAGUACAUAUAUAUAAUCUUUAAAUUAAUGGGGAUUAUUUUGUCCAACUAUUACUUUGGGAUAUUGGAGAAAACUAAAAUUUAUGAUAUAUUAUUUGCUUAUCAAAAUUAUAAUUAUUGUAAAAAAAUCAAUUCAUUCCUGGCGCAAAUGGUAAAGAAUUUGACAUUUGGUAUCAAAAGUCCCAUGUUCGAAUCCUAGAGAUACGGCUCCUUUGAACCGUCCGAUGAAGAUCCAACGGUGAUUAAAUAAGACGCAAUCUUGAUACACCAGUGUGUGCAAAUCCACACAUCGCGAAGGUCGUCUCGGAUCCCUCGUGUGGCUCUCUCUGCUACGCCCCUUUCGCUGAAACCCUAUCCUCGCCCUCUCAACUCGAUCGGAGAAUCGGAUACUCGAUCCCCUCUCUCCUCUUCACGAUGUCGUCGGGGUCGAGCUCUUGGUCGCGAGCUUUGACGCAGAUCUCGCCCUACACCUUCGCCGCCGUGGGGAUCGCGAUCUCCAUCGGCGUAUCCGUGCUUGGAGCCGCAUGGUGAUCAUCAUCUUAAUUUGAUUCUUUUUUCUUAUUGAUUUCUCAAUCUGAAUUAUCUCCGUGUUUUUUCUGAUUUUUUUUUUUCCUGAAUUUUUUUACCAUUUAUUGCCAAUUUUUCAGGGGGAUUUUCAUCACAGGAAGUAGCUUGAUCGGUGCCGCGAUCAAAGCUCCGAGAAUCACCUCGAAAAAUCUCAUUAGGUAUGCUUUUAUUAUUAUUAUUAUUAUUAUUAUUAUUAUUAUUUUAGGGGGAUCACCUACAAACUCCUAUCUAAUAAUGACCUCCUCAUGUUUUUGAUAUUUUUAUUUGGAAGUUGUAUUUUUGUCAAAAUUUUGUAAUAUGUAACUUGUGUUGUUUGUAGACAAAAUCUUCUUUCCAGCAGAUACAUAUCUACAGAAGAUAUUUAGACGAAUCACUGUCUAAGGAAGUGUCUAUUGUCGAAUUAAUUGUAGACCAACAUUUGUUGAUUGGCUUAAAGUGUACAUCUUAUGAGUGUAUAUGGCUAAAUCUUAGGUACUAUAUUCGCUUUUGGUAUUUUGAAGCUUCUCCUUGUACCUUUGUAAACCUCAGGCCACUUUUUCUUUGUGAUAAUAAAUACGAACUGCCUCAUACAACUAAUAACUAAUUCCACCAAUCAUCUUGUAUCAGAGAGCUAGGUGAACAUGCUAUAUUGCAAGUUGCAACAUCUACUGGUAGAGAAGCAUACUAAGCUUACUGUGCUGUUUAAACACCUCAUGAACAUACAUUAUCACAGAAACAGAACAGCGUUAGUGUCCUUGUGAUACAUUAUUUGCACUUGAUAUCUAAUCCAGGCAUUUUUUUCGUCGACACGAAUGUCUAGUUGCACAGUUUUUGGUAAUGUUUCCAGCUCUCGUUGCACAGAUUUUGGUCCAUGUCCAGCUCUGCCGGCAAGCACUGUGUUAAUAUUUAGUACGUUAAGCUUUAAGGUGUAUGAUAACAACAGAUUUACAAGGACAUUCAAUAAACUAGAAUUCAUUGUUGAUCCUGGCACUAUCUGAAGCCAAUUGAUGUGUCUAGAGAAGUUGCACACAAAAAUGUAUGCAAAGAGGUUUGAAAACAAGUUCCACUAAUAUGACAAUUAUGACUGCCUGAAUUUGGAAGCUCAGUUGGGAGAAAGCAUGAGUAGCCUUUUUUAAGCUGUUUCUGCAAUUUGAACAGAAAGUAAGUGAAGAUCUGCAAAAAGUUGUAACAUUGCAGAGAAUAAGAUCAUGUAGAAUGGAAUGCAGGCAAGUCCAGCCAGUGUUAAAUGGCCGCUUGAACUGUGUUCUGUUGGCCGUACAUUAACUUUGAUAGUGUGGAUUUGGUUUUUUUUUUUGGCUGGCACUCAGGACCAAAUUUCACAAUUGUACUCUAUUGCUUCUGCUUGAUGUGUAGACAAGGAGCAUUAAAUCUUAUAAGUGACGGCAAUGAUAUUCUUGGGUCAAUGUUGUUAUGAUCUUUAUCUUUGUCUAAGAUUCUAGAAGAUCAGAAACUAAGAUAAAAAUGUAGGGGCAGUCUCUAAUAUUUCUUAGUUUAGUACAAAAGUAGUCUGUUUGAUGGGCAGCACUCUUCUGUUUAAAGAGGAUCCAGUAGUUAGGCAUGUCCAGAUCUACAACUCCAUGUGCCCAGAUUGCUUAAAUGUCUGGUGGAAACAAUCAGGCGAAUAGGCAUGUUCUUGAGAAUUUUACUUGUACGGGACAAUCCACCAUGGUUUAAUUCAAAAUCAGGUCAUGUUUCAUAUCUUCAAUGUACAUUUUAGCUUCAAGCUGCUGCAUUUUGUAAUUUGUAUUUAUAUUCAAAUGAUCACAUUCAAGUCCAUAAUAGUUGGGUUUACUGGUCCUACAUAUUUGAACUACCAAACUAUAUAUCUAUCAAAUUCAGGGCUGUAAAUCAGAAAUUGCUGUUAAGUUCUCCGCUAUUCGCCACAUUUGCAUGAAUUAUUUUGUAUUUUCGUGUAGAUUUUCUUAAUGGAAUUUACCUAAUCAAAAUUUUCAGUGUCAUCUUCUGUGAGGCUGUUGCUAUUUACGGUGUUAUCGUUGCAAUCAUAUUACAAACAAAGUUGGAAAGUGUGCCAAAAUCUUUAAUACACCACCCGGAUUCUCUAAGAGCUGGAUAUGCAAUUUUUUCCUCUGGGAUUAUCGUGGGCUUUGCAAAUCUUGUCUGUGGGUACGUUUGUUCUUUCUCAGUACUUCUUGCAACUCUUUAGUUUUUUUGGGGGAAAAUAAAGAGUCUCAUUCUAGUGAAUUGAGCUUACUUGGAAAGUUGUUUUCGUGAACAGGCUUUGUGUGGGAAUAAUUGGAAGCAGCUGUGCAUUAUCUGAUGCACAGAACUCCAACCUCUUUGUGAAAAUUCUGGUGAUCGAAAUCUUUGGCAGUGCGCUUGGAUUAUUUGGUGUAAUUGUCGGCAUAAUCAUGUCAGCUCAAGCAACAUGGCCAGCAUAGGCCACAUGAGCUCUUCUUGUCGGUAACAAAACCCAGUCUCUCUUCUUCUUCUUUUUUUCCCUCUUUCUGGGCGAUCUGAACUCAGUGCAGUUUUUUGAAUCUCUGAUCUUGAGUAAUAAUCUGCACUUUUUAAGAUCCAUAUGUCUCUAAAUGCUGUUGUAUAAUUUUUACUACAUGUUUCAUGGAGUUACAUGCAAAGAUUAUACGUUGCCGCAUCUUUGUACAAGAUACUGUUGUGCAGGUAAUAUUCUUGUGCCUGAUAAUUAAUAUGCAAAAUGUUUGUGUUAUCAAGGAACUGGGCAUGCAUUGUUGCUUUAUCAUUAGUCAUGAUCACGUUUCUGUGUGGUAUGGGUUUGGAUGCAUUUUUUUUUAAUGCAUUUUCUCCGAGCUCUUUCGACUACAACCGAUUCAUGUGAUAAAAAAAUUGUACCUGAAAUUUUCAACAUUGUAGCAUAGUUUCCGCUCCAAAUUGAAAAAUGUAUCGAUGUACUUGUCAUAAAAGCAACUUUCAGACUCGUGUAAUUAAUUACAUGGUAAAAAUUAGGGAAGACUUCAAAAAAAACCCUUUGUGGUUUCGUAGUUUCUCACUUUCCCCCUCUGGUUUAAAAUGUAUCAAAUUGUCUCCAUGUGGUUUCGUUUUUAUCUUUUCGGUAGUUUUUUCGUUAAUAUUUCAUUAAAUUAUAUAUAAAAAAAUUUUAAAUAUCCAUCUAGAUUUAUCAAAUAUUCACUUUAGUACCCUUUAAUUUUAACUUUAUCACUGAUUUAAGAAAAAAAAAUAAUGAAAUUGAUAAGAAAAAGAAAAAAAAGAAACUACAUGGGAGCAAAUUGAUAUAUUUUAAAUCACGGGGGCAAAGUGAGAAAUUAUGAAAUUACAGUAGGGAUUUUUUUGAAGUUUGUCCUAAAAAUUAUGAUUGCUUACUACAUACAUGAUUGGUUAUAUCUGCUGUUACCAUUACCUAAUCCACAAUGGGCCACUUCGAAAGUACGCGAAAAGUCCAAAUUAAUAGGCACCUAAUGGAUGUGAAAGAGGUACGAAUAUACCGAACGAGAGAGCUAAGGACAUACGGAACGAUAGUGCAAAGGAGUUAGCAAAAAAAAAAAAAAAAAAAAAAAAAAAAAAAAAAAAACUAUACAAUUAGUGAUGCGGAGAAACACACAAAGAAGCAAUCACAAAUCAGGCAUCACAGAUAUAUACUGACAUGAAACAUAAAACAUAAUAUAGACAUUAUUUAUAAAAUAUAAUUAUAAUUAUAUAAUAAUAUAUAUUUAUUAGAGUUCAGCUAUUAUAAUCUUACGAGUAUGAAUCUUUUUGUGCUCAUAAGUUUUCGACCCGUAGAUUUAUUUUUUUGACCAUUUUCAUCUAUUAAGUCAUACUAUUCAACCAACCACUCUCAAUCCUGCUAGGAGACUACUAUAAUUUUAACGCAGACCCUUAUCAUUUUAAUCGCACAUUCCUUCAUUAAAUGAUCGAAAAUUUUAUAAGUACAAAAAAGUUUAUAUUCAUAAAAGUAUAUAUAUUUUUAUAUAUAUAUAUAUAUAGUAGAACUACUAUGCUAUCGAAAGUAUAGAGGAUUUGGUGCUUCCGGCUUAUUGACUCUUAAAUUAGUCUUUUUAAAACCCGACCCGAACCCAAAACCCGAACCCGAAUAAAUUAUAUAUAUACAUAAUUUAUUUUUAUUUAUAUAAUAUAUAAAAUAUUUAAUAAUUUUUAUCCUUUAGAUCUUUAUUCAACGGUAUGAAUUUUUAAAACCUGCAGGGUUCAGGUCCGGGUUCGGAUUUUGGAUUUUUGAUCGGGAACGAAUAUGGGUAUGGAUUUUUAAAAUCCGCCGAGUUUGAGUCCGGAUAUGAAUUUUAAUUUGGUUUUCGGAUUCGGGUUCGGAUUUUUAAAAAUUCGAUCCAAACCCGACCCGUUGACAUCCCUAAUCUCUUGCCGUUAGUCUCUUGUGGAUCAUAGCCCUUCUCAACUUAUUAGUCUUCUGGACCUAUUAUUACAGGGUAGGAUGUUGAACCUAUUUUAGUCCUAUAUUAAAUAACCAAUAUAAUGUUCCCUCUAAAAUUUUUUUAAAAAUAUAUAAUAUAUAAAAAUUUUUUAGAUAUCCCUACUAAAUUCCUCUAAUGCAGUUAUGAGAAUUGAGUUUAGAAGGGUAUUUUGGUAAUUUCAAGGUUUAUUUGUAAUUUUGAAUAAUAGUAAGGGGUGAAAAAAAAAAAAAAUAAAAAAAUAAAAAAAUAAUAAAGUCGGCAGCGGAUUGCAGCCCACGGCCGGCUUCGGCCGGCACGAUUUUUGGCGCCAUCCGCCCUAAACCCCUCUCCUUCUCCGCGUCGUCGUCGUCCUCCUCCUCCUCCAUGUCUCCGCCUCAUCCUCUCCCUCUCCCUCUCCCUCUCCCCCUUCCUCCUCCUCCUCCUCGUCCUCCUCCUCUUCCUCUCGGCCAUGGGCUGCGCCCAAUCGAAGCCCCCGACCUCGCACUCUCCCCCCAGCGGCGGCGUCGACAGGCUCAAGCUCGACGGCCGCUACCUCCCCGCCGCCGCCGCCGGCGGCGCGAAGCGGCCCCAGCCGCCGCGCGGCCCCGCCGAGCGACGGGAGAGGGUUAGGGUAGCGGAUGCGGCGGCAGGAGGAGGAGGAGGGAGGAGGGAGAGGGAGAGGGAGAGGGUUGGGAGAGACGAUGGGGCGGCGGAGAAGACGAAGGCGAAGACGAAGACGAAGACGACGACAAUGGCGAUGGCGACGCCCCCGUCGAGAGGAGGAGGAGAGGCGGAGGAGAUGGUGGAUGGGUGGCCGCGGUGGCUGCUGGAGAACAUCCCCAGGGAGGUGCUGAGUGGGCUCGUGCCCAGGAGCGCAGAUUCAUACGACAAGAUCGAUAAGGUGAUUGUGUUACUCUCUUUUGAUUACCGAAUUCAAUCUCCAAAUACCCUGUUUGGACGUCGGAAUAAGAAAUCCAAUGAUAACUUAUUCAGGUAUGAUGAUCUUCUUAUGUAAUUGGAAAUUAGGAAUUCGAUUUUUCGCUCCUUAAAAGGUCUUGAGAUUCAUGAUUUGGUGCGAUGUUAUGGAAAACUUUGGCUUAAAGGCUGAAUAUGGUAUCCGUUCUAGACAUUUACUAUAUGCCUCUUGAGUAAAUGGAAGUGAGAUGUUCAUGUGUCCAAACAUGGCCAAAGUUAUCUUACACCUAGAUCGAUAAACUGAUGUGUUGCUCUCUUUCUAAUACCCAAUUCAAUCUCCAAAUUACGCAUCAUCGUUUCAACAUGGAGGCCCUACUUGCGUGUCGGAAUAAGAAAUCCAAUGAUAUGUUAUUCAGUACGAUAAUUUUCUUGUGUAAUUGGAAACUAGGAGUUUUUUUUUUUUUUUUUUUUUUUUUUUUUUUUUUUUUUUUUUUGUUUUGCUCCUUUGAAGGUCUCGGCAUCCAUGAUUUGAUAGGAUAACAUAUUUCACUACGAGGUGAUCUAUCUUAUCCUGAAAAAAUGGUUUAAAGGCUACGUAUGAUAUCUGUUCCAGACAUCUUAUCAUACUCAUAUAUAUUAAAUACUGUAUGCUUCUUGAGUAAAUCAAAGUAAGAUGUUCAUGCAUCAGAACAUCGUCAAAAUUAUGAUACUAUCUACAAUUAAGCUUUUACUGUCUCAAAUGGUUCAUGAAAACUUGGUUUAGCAACAAUCUAAAUAGAAUUUAAUGGAAUCCAAAUGAAAAAAAAAAUCAAUUGAAUUUAUCUAGAAAUGUAUUUCUUUGUUUGGAUUAAGUCAGAUUUCAGCUGAAUUUUAUUCCGUUUUGUUGUUUGGUAUAAGAUGAGUAAUCAUUUUAAUAAGAUUACUUUUUCUAUGUAUCCUCACUUAUAUAAAAGGAAAGAUGUAUAAUUAAUUUGAGGAGGGGUAGUUUGGGUUAUUGAUAAAGGAUAACUAAUAGCAGAUGAAUUCUCACCAAAUCCAACUUCAAACCAUGCGAAUUGGAUGAGAUCCAUUUGUAUUAUGAGAGAUCCCACUGAAUCUUUCUGAACUGAAUUCUCAUUAACUUAUGGUACCAAACAACUAAUUUAUAAAAACUAGCAUUCAACUCUUUGAACUCUAGGAUUUUGGGCAGUCAAACAGGAUGUUAGAUUGAUUUGGUACAAAAUUUAUGUGGCAUGCCUAUGACAGAAAAGACUUUCUCCACAAUGACAACAUUUUGGGUGACAGUAGUGGUACCAUUUUUGGCUACUGUCUGUCAGCCUUUUAAUGGAGUAUAGUGUUUCAUGAGAGUUUGGCAAAAAGAGAAGUGCAACACAAAAAGUGAAAACAACCCUAGUAUUUAAGUUGUAUAUUUUGUAUUCCAAAGUUCUAAAAGUGGUUCAGCUUAAUUCUAGCCAUCAUCACUGAUUAGAGGAAAACUUGUUAUCUGCACCUGGUGUGCAGGUACGUCCGUCCACCAGGUCCACCAGGUGUCCAUCAGUUUUCCAUCCAUCUUAUAUUUUCAAUCAACCAUUGAAUUCUUAAAAGAGAAAAGGCCGCAAUUCAGUGGUUGGUAGGGAUUGAAAUAUGAGAUGGAAUUAAUGGCUGAUGGAUAUGUAGUGUGUGAUAUACGGAUGGACGGGGUGCAGGAAUUCAAAGAGUAGAUGAGAACAAGGACUAAAUUGAAAUACUUCCAAACAUUUGGAGGAUAAACCAUCGAACUUAAAAAUUUUGAGCAAAGUGAAACUUCACCAUUAGUGCAAUGCACCUGUUCUUUUUAAUGAGAAGCUCAUUGAACUCUUCUUGGUUCAGGUGGGUCAAGGGACCUAUAGCAAUGUGUAUAAAGCUAUAGAUCGAGAUACUGGAAAAAUAGUUGCUUUGAAAAAGGUACGCUUUGACACAUCGGAGUCGGAGAGUGUCAGAUUUAUGGCACGGGAAAUUAUGAUACUGCAGAGGCUGGAUCACCCUAAUGUCAUUAAACUUGAAGGCCUUGCAACUUCAAGGAUGCAUUACAGCCUUUACUUGGUUUUUGACUUCAUGCAAACUGACUUAGCAAGGGUGAUAUCUUGUUCUGAUCAGAGGCUUACAGAACCACAGGUUCUUAUACGAAACAAAAUAUAGCAGAAUUUACAUUUAUGCACUGUAGAAAUCAGAGUUUUGACAGAUGCCUUUGUACAGGUUAAGUGUUAUAUGCAACAGCUGCUAUCGGGUCUUCGGCAUUGCCAUCAGCGUGGAAUCUUACACCGAGACAUUAAGGGUUCUAACCUGUUAAUAGAUAAAUAUGGGAUGCUGAAGAUUGCUGACUUUGGGCUUGCUAACUAUUUCAAUCCUAAUAAAAAACGGCCGCUUACAAGUAGAGUGGUCACACUGUGGUACAGAGCACCUGAACUACUGUUAGGAACUACGGAUUACGGAGUUGGAAUUGAUCUGUGGAGUGCAGGUUGCCUUCUUGCUGAAAUGUUUGCUGGGAGGCCGAUAAUGCCUGGUAGGAAUGAGGUGAGGAGCUAUUUGAUUACAAAAGCAAUUUUUAUGGGCAACAGAACUAGCAGUCUAGAUCUUUUCUUUGAAUUUUCACGUUAUGAAUGCUUGUAUCUGAGUAGAAUGGUGCAUUUGCAAAGCUUUGAAUUAUUCUUCGUUGUACGUUGGAAAAGAAUUAAAUAUUCAAACAUCUAUUCCAUAGCAUUAAUAAAUUGAAUAGAUAAAAUUAUAUAUUACUAAAAGCAUGAUUCAUAUUAGGGAACAUGGAAGCUUCAAAAAUGUUGUUGUGUCCAUAUCGGACAUGUUGAGCAGUUCUCAUAGGCAAAAAUAUUAUGAAUCCUCAUGUUACCAUUUAUUCUUGGAGUUCCUUGAAAGCUCUAGUCUAGAUUACCGUAUUAUGACUUCACUAUUCUGUUUAAUGUGCUUUAAAGAUAUUUCAGUCUUUUUCAAUUUGUAAUUUUUAUGUGGGAAUACUUUUCUGAAGUUUCCUUUGGUGCUUCUAGUUCUCCUAAACUCGGUUGCUUUUGUGUUCUUUUUUAUUAUUAAUAUCCAUGCUUUAAUUUGUAUUUAGGUAGAUGUCCUUACCCCUUACAUAUACAUACAUGGCGUGGGGCAUAAAUUGCCAAAAUUAUCCGAAGACAAAUGCGACUACAAAUUCCCUAUGAGAAGCGAUGCUUAGCUAGUGUUAAUUAUUACUUAGACUUUUCGGAAGAUUUGAGCUGAACUAAUGUUAGAAUCUUAGCUUUGUCGUAAGUGUACAUAUCUCUUGUCAAAUGCUCUAUGAAUAAUUUUGGUGCUCACGCUUUAGCUUUUAAUCAAUCAAACAAAGUUAAGCAUAUUUGAAGACCUCAUUUUAUAUAUGUUUUUCUUUUUUUCUCUCAAGCUCGGUUCAUCUAUCAGCUAGCAACUGGCUUGCAGUUUCAUGCUUUUAGGAGCAAAACAUGCUCAACCAGUCUUUUGAUGACCCAAUCAACUACAUUUAGCAGUUUGGUUGACUUGCAGCUCCUAAUAGGCUAAUGUCUAUGUCAAAAGUUGUUCUUGACCUAAGUAGUUUAUUUGUAGAGUUAACCAGUUAGGAUUCUACAGACAAGUAGUUAAAGACUCUCAAGAACGGUUGGAUAGUUGCUAAUUUAGCAAUUAAUUUAUGUAUAGGCGAAGUAAGUUGUUUUUACUUUGUGUUAGUUUGUCUCAUAAUGAUAUAUAUAUAUAUAUAUAUGAUGGAACUGAUGAAGGUGCUUUAUGUUUCAUACAUUUCUCUGAUUCAUAGUCUUUCAUAUUCAGAUUGAGCAACUUCACAGAAUAUAUAAGCUUUGUGGAUCCCCACCAGAUGAUUAUUGGAGCAAAAUGAAAUUGUCUCCGAUCUUCCGAUCUCCACAAUCUUACAAACCAGCUAUUUUGGAAACUUUUAAGGAUUUUCCUUCUUCCUCACUUGGUUUGCUCAGUAUGCUUCUUGCGUUGGAUCCGUCGAAUCGUGGCACUGCAGCUUCUGCUUUGCAGAAUGAAGUAGGUUACUCUUCAUGAUUUGAGCAUACUAGCUUUCUAGCAUGAGUAGAAUAUGACAGUAAGAGAAAUUUUACCAGUAGAAAGCAUAUGUUUUUUUUUUUUUUUUUUGAGAGAAUUCGUUUAUUUUUUUAUAGAAAUAAACUUAGCUGAAAAUGUGAAUCAACUAGGAUUCGAAUUUGGGUCCUCAGGUACCAACCACCAAGCCUUUUGCCACUUGCACUAGGGAUGGUCGGUAGUAGAAAGCAUAUGUUAAGCACUUGUUUUGAGUUUAUAAGUCACACUAGUAUAAUAGAGAGAAAAACCUUAUAUGUUUUUUUAUUCAUUACAACCAUCCUUUAAGCCUAGGGUUGUAAUAUUGUGUAUUAAGCAUAUUUCUUGUUGAUUUUUUGACAAUUUUAACUAAACUUCGUUGCAAUCGUUUCUGAGCAAUGGAAAAAAAAUUAGACAUUCAUUAUGCAUGUCUUAGUUUAAUACAUCCAUGGAGAUUCCAAAUUACAUUGUUGCAAAGCAUGAGUCAACAGGCUUGGUUGGUUGGUUCAAUUUGUACUUUUCAAUAUAUCUUGAUUCUUAUAAUCUGUUGAUUGACAUGUUUAAAUGCAGAUAAACAAAGUGAACUAAUUCGACUCUUGUGAAUUAUAAAUAUGAUCAAAAUGUCACUGUUCUGAAAAUUCGUCUGCUUUUCUGUGACUGCUUAUUGUGCAAGUAAGAAAUGUUUCAAACAUUUAAGCUAUUGAUUUAUAACUAAGAAAUCCUGAAGCAUUUUUGGUCCAGAUUUCUUAGCUUUCCAACUGGUUGUUCCUUGUCUAUGUGCUUUGUGUUGGAGUCCCAUAGUUCUUCCUAUUAUUUGUUUAUAUAACAUUGUUGCACUCCAGCCAAUGAUGCUAGCAAGGAUGCUUUCAUCUUAUCGGUCAAUCUCCAAGCCCAUUUCCUAAUAAUUUACUAUUCAAGAUAUUACAGUCUAUUCACCUUAUGUUUACUUCAUCUGCUUUUGUUCACUCAAUUUCGGGGCUACAUAUGUGUUGCAUAUUAAUUUGCGUUCUAUGUAUCUGGAUUGUUCUACUUUUUGAAAAAGUGAUGACUUAUGAUCCCUUCCUUUGCAGUUCUUCAGCACAAACCCCCUGGCCUGCGACCUCUCUGGUCUUCCUGUGAUCUAUAAAGAAGAUAAGGAUGACUAUACUCACCUGCGUGAUGGACAAAAGUAAGUUAAACCUUUUGCUCUGAUGUUUUUCAGAUCUAUAUUCUGCUCAUGGAAUUAAGAGCUUGUUGUGAUGGUUUUACAAUGUAUUAUUAAUCAAGAAAGAGAUAAAAUUUCAUGUAACUUGAGUAAGUAUUUAGUUCGAUGCAUCUUGUAAGGUAGGAAGCAGAUUUUGGUUUUUUUUUCGUAUCUAAUGGAAAUAUUUCUGCCCUCAUUCCUAUAGUUCUAUACUGAAAUAUCGUUUUCACAAACUCUAUCUCUCCAUAUUACUCUUAUAGGCGCAAAUCUUCUAAGCUGAAGCAACGUUCUUACAAGCAGAGAGAGGAUGCCAAGAAAAUUGAGGCAGAUAUGGCAAGAAGGAAAGCAGAUUCUGGAUCAUCAAAAGAGGUAGGGAUCUGGGACACCAAUAACAAGUGGGAGGAAUACUGUUACUCUAGUUUCCUGUUUCUUUGUAAUCACUAAUUUAAAUUUUCUUUUGUAGGUACAUUCAUACAUGCACUAAUCUUUUAAGUUAACACUUAAUUUGAAUGAAUCUUUUUUGUCACAUUAUGUCAUCCAAUUUUUUGAAGUUUUCAUAGGAGCUCUUGGGCUGAACUAAACCUAACAAUUGCCACAGGUGCCACUAAUGUAGACUAACCAUGGAAUAUUAACCAACUUUGUGGAACUUGCUUUUUCUAGAUAUAUUCUUGGUGUUAUUCCACUUACAUCCUUUUUCCGCAGGAAGAGAAACCUACAGAUGUGAGAGUACAGAUACAAGAAAUAGGUAGCAGCGUAGCAAGCACUUCUUCAUCCAUAACAAAGCCCAAAAAGUAUGCAGUGGUGCCGGGUGAAUCACUCUAUCCAGGAUCAUAUCUACCUCAAGAAGUAACGCAAAGAUCCGAUGCCCAUCCUUCGGCCUCUAAGAACAUCAAGAAUUUCCCACCACAUGCUGCUAUUGAAGAGGUUCCUGGUGGUCCCAAAGGUCGAGAUGUCAUGCACCGUUAUGGUUUAGAUAGGUCGAUCUCGAUGUCAGAGUUCCACAGGAUGGACGGAAAGGAUUUGUCAAAACUGUAUGUUCUUGUUGAUUAGACAUGCACAAAUAUUUUAUUUUAUUUAUGUUUGGGACAAAUGUACUAGUAGUUCCUAAAAACUUCGACUUACUGCGAUUUGGUCCGUAACAUCCCCACAUUUGCUUCUUUUGGAAAUCCAUGACGUUAUGCGACAUUUUUGGUCCCGAAGAAAACAAAUUGAGUGGUAAAUGAUGGACAAGAUCAUCACUUUGAUAUGUGGUCAAGGGGAAUUUAAACUCCGGAGAAAGUAAAACAAUUCAGGGGCCGAAUCGCAGCGAGUCAAAGAGAGAGGGCCUCCUACAUAUUAUAACCCUGUGAGUUUACUACUAUUGAGUUGCUUACACAUAUUACAUGAAAGUGUCUCCUUGUAGUUGUAAAAACAAUGACAAAUAUCAAUUUUAUAUGUAUGUCGAACUUCCGUGUUCGUUUUAUUUGCUAUUCUUUUGUACAUUGAUCUUUAGCAUAAACUGUCUGAAGUUCAAAUGGUAACUGGCAGGGCCAUAUAUCAAAGGAAAAGAAAGAAUUGAUUCUUAUUCUUACUUUCAUAUGGAAAGGGAAUUGUGUGAUUCCCUAUUUUGAUUUUGUUUUCAGGAAUUGAUCUUCAGAAUUGUUCUGAGAAGCCAUGCCUGAAAUCUUAAUAUUGCAAGGUGGAAUAAUCUUAUCAAAUUCCCAUUCAGGUUCCAACCAUUCCUAUUCCAUUCCCUAUUCAUGGUUGUUGCUCCUUUUGAUGCUGUGCAGUUUCCUAAGAGUAGAUAAAAAUAGAAUCUGGACAGUGAAAAUUAUAUCGCAAAAAAAAUUUCACAGGUCUAAACACAUAUACAGAAUCAAUCACUUUAGCAUACAUUCUACUCUCAUUCAUUUUUGAGCGGGUAUAGCAUUUUUUCGUCUAUUUCAAUUUCUAAGUAAUGUUUUUUUUUUUUUUGAGAAAAGAUAGCAUGCUACCGCUUCAUUCAUAAAGGUAGUGAACUAAGCAAGGCUUUGAGACAGCGGGGCCUCGGUACGAGCGAAAAAAAAAAAAAAAACUCAAGGAAGUGUAGAGCGAUUUAGUCGCGUCUUCUACAUAGGGUCCUCCACAUGUGCCAAAAAUUGCGGGAUUGCGCCAACAAAGAGCUCAAGUUCCGUUUCUUUCGCUGGAAGAUUCUCUUAUUCCGCUCCAAUCAAAUAGUCCACCAUAUGGAGGCAAUGUAAGAUAGCUCCGAACCCCCUAUGGCACCGCCUUUAAGGGUACUAGACCCCCAAAGCCCUCUCACAGACGUGCAGUGUAGUAAGGAUGUUUUAUUAGAAACUUGACUUACCAGGAGAGUCAUUGUAGAUUCGCAAUACACAAAGAGAUGAUCAACCAUCUCAGGCUCCAAUCCACACAUGACACACUCUUGCUCACCGUACCAUCCUCUUUUCAACAGAUUAUCCACUGUCAGUGCCUUUCGCUUCAAAACAAGCCACACAAAGAUUUUGACUUUUAGUGGGGCUCUAAUCUUAUAUUUUAUAUAUCUACUUUUAUAUUUUAUAAUUUUUUACUAAUAAUUCAACAAAUCUACUGAUUCUGAUUAUAAUAUGGAGAGAGAGAGAGAGAGAGAGAGAGAGAGAGAGAGAGAGAGAGAGAGAGAGCAAAACAGGCAAGUUUUUAUGCUUUGUGGGGUUGAACACCUACACCAUGCAAAAGAUCCACUGAUUCUGCUGCAAGACAAAGCUGCUUAAUUAUUAAGCAAACACUGCAAGUGCAGCAGCAGCAGCAGCUUCUGGGAGAAGCUUCUGCUGCUGAAAUUAAUUUUGCCAGAGUUUUUAAGUCAUAACUUAUCUAUAUACAUGACAUGAGCAAUUUCCCAAUCUAUGAUAAUACUAUCACACACACAAGGCAUGGGCUAUGCAUGCAAUAUCUACUCAACAUUGAUUGCUGUCAUGGUUACAAUUCUGAGACUACGACUUGCAGCUGCUCCUCCGUCGUAAAGACUUCGGUAGAUUCUUAGAUUGACGGAGAUUGACGGGAUUCUUAUCGCCCGCUUGUCUUUUUCACUAUGCCUUCUAUUUUUGCUAGAUUAUCUUAGACUUACAUCUUAUUUCUUAUCAAGGACAGGAUGGAUAUGCUUGUUUUAAUGAAUACGCAGAUACACGGAAUUAUAAUUUCAAAAAGAAAAAGCAGCUCUCUAUCUCUCUACUAACGAUCGUCUUGUAUUUGGUGAAUUGUAAUCUUUAAAACAUGUAGUUUUGGAUGUUUGUAUGCAUGAAUUAUCCAGUAAUAACUUAUGUGUUGUUAGAAUAUUUAUCUCUAUAUACGAUAAUACUAUAGAAGAAAAAGUACAAAAUGAUUCAACUAUCUCUCUCUAUCUAAACUAUAGCAAUAUAACCAAAUAGGGAAAAUAAAUCAAUAACUUUUGGAAUAAAUGUGUAUGUAACAUAUUGUCAUUCACAUAGGAAUAGGUUUGAUGUUCUAUAAGAGAAAUGCUUUGAGUCUCCACGCUGUAUGUACCCCAUUAUAUUGUUGAUGUAUUAGCACUUACGUGUUUAGGAUUCAAAGUUUAAUUAUGGCGUUUGGGGUAUAGGGUUUAGAGUUUUAAUUAUGAUGUUGCCAAUACAUUAAUAACAUAGUAGGGGACACAUGUAGGGUACACAUAAUAGUGUUGUUCAGAUAAAUGAAUAAAUCAUAAAAUUAACCCAAAUACACCAUUUGAAGUCAUAAAAUAUUUCAAAUAUAUACAAAAUUAUAAGAAAGGAAAUGGAGCACCACUUAAGUUACCUAGGAAGGGUAAUUUUUGAGAUCCAAAGAUUAAAACUUUAAAUAUAUAUCUCUGAUCCAAUUCUAAUCAUCAAUACUAUACUCCAUUAAUUUGGAAUUAAUUGUAACCUCACAUUGAGGUUGAGUCACCACCUAAUAAGCAUAGAUCUAGAGGUGCAAUUUAUGGACAAUUAUUCCUGUGUUACACAUUUUGAUUCCUCAUAAAGAAUCAGAUUAUUUAUUAGCAAGAAAAGAUUAAUACUAACCUUAAGGAAACAAAUAUAUUAUAGGGUAAAUUUUAAAACAUCCUAUGAUUCAACACAUUUUCACGUCACCAUAUCCGAGGUUCCAAAUUCGAAGCUUAAUUGCUUCAUAUUUCUAGCUGAGUUCAUGUAAAAAAAAAAAAUAACAAACCAAAAGAAAAAUUGGAAUAAUUGUUCUCUUCCAUAUAUUCAUAUACAACAUAAUAUACAUAAUCUUAAAUAUUCAAACAUCAACUUAAAUUGUUUUCAAAUAUUAGCUUCAGAUUACACAGCUCUAGUUAAUUAAAAGACAAUUUGUAGAAGGGACUGCAUAUUUUUCAAAUUAAGAUCAGUUAUCUAAAUUUAUAACAAAAAAACCUUUCCAAAUGCAUAGAUUAUAACAAUUCUAAUACAAACACUUCCAUCACAGAGAAACACAAAAAAAAAAGAAAAAAAAAAAGAGUUUUGAUUUAACAUACCACCAAGCCUAAAUUACUAAUAUUAAACCCAUAAUCCACUUUUUAACCAAUUAUUCAAAACUUCAUCCAUAAGACACAUAUACCAUUUUUACACUAAUUCUACAUUAAGAACAAAAGCAACCCAAAAAAAAAAAAAGAGUGAUAAAAAUAUAUAUAUAUAGAGAGAGAGAGAGAGAGAGAGAGAGACUAGGCUUGUUUUUCAGUUUCUGCUCAGAUGAAAAGCGCACUAAUUAAUAAAAUAAAGUGAAGGCUCAAUUUCACCUGUCCAUCACUUAUAGACGAAAACGUUUAUGCUCGAAUGCACGAACAACGAAAUAGAUACCACAUCAUAUUACGAAUAAAGUAAAUAUAUGAUUGGACGGAUCAGAUUGAGUCUUCAAUCUUUUAUUUUGUUAUAAGUGCAGCGUUUACGCAAGUGCAGGAGGACGUAAAACCAAAACGAUGAACAGCUGAGAUUGAGCCUUCGGUGCUUUUAUUCUGUUAUCUGCACGCGGUUGCGUCUCAGAUGCCGUAGCGGGCGUCGGAGAGCUUGGACUUGAUCCACUUGAAGCCGCUGCGGACCGAUGACUUGAGCCGCCCCUCGACGGCGAAGACGUUGUAGGCCGCGAUGCGCCGCUUGCGCUUCAGCUCCGGGUCGGCCGAGCUCGCGAACCCGUCCCGCGUCCCGCUCGGCCCGUUGAACGAGUACGACGACGAAUUCGCCGCAGUUCGCCCCUCUAUGUAGCUGUAGGAGUGGUACUGAGCAGCAGAAGGGAAAGACCUGCUCUUCUCCAUAAGAGCAGUUUUGUAUGUGAGAGUCAAGAGAGAGAGAGAGAGAUCUAAAGAUGUGUGUUGUGUGUUGUGUAAGUGUGUUUAAUGUAGGAUGCCGAUGACGAUGAGUACGGAUACCCAAAAUUUUAUCUUAAUCUGCAUAGGACGGGUUUAUCUAAUGCUAAACUCAUAUAAUUUCGGAUAUAGGUAUGAAAAUGAAAAUCCGAGGGAUACAAAUUUGGGUAUUGAUUUUGUUUUUAUAAACCGAUCAGAAUCUGAAUUCAACUCGAAGCCGAAUAGAUUUUAUAUAUAUGAAUAAUGUUUGAUAUUAUAUUUGAAUUUGUACUUUAAAAUUUUAAAUUUUAAUAUAAAAUGUAUUGAACUACGGCACCGGAUUUGAAUUUUUGAGUUCAUUCGGGUUUUGAAUUUUUGUUUGGAUUCAAUUUUUGAAUAUGAAAUCUUAAGAUUUGUCCAAUUUUGAAUUCGAACUUUUUGAAAAUUCGUCUUGAACCCGACCCGUUGACGGUCCUAUAUAGUUUAAUGGAUGGUGGGGUCCACUGUUAGUGAUGAUGGGUUUUGUUGGGGAAGAGUGUGGUGGAGAGUGGAGGCAUCAAUUAGUGGGGUUUGCCCCACAUGUGAUGUUGAAGGAUGAUUAUUUGCUCUCUCCUUAAUGGGGAUGCAAAAUGGAUCCGGGUUCAUUGAGCUUCCAUAUCGAUCCGUCCCGAAUAGGAUAAUAAAUAAGAAUCAAAAAUAAAAAAAAAACAUAAAUAAUUUAUUUCAAAUCUGCACCAUAGAGUGAAAGGUAGGGGACUUUUUUCUUUCAUUGAUAUGUUCUGAUCCGCUAAUAAUUUGUCAGGAAUUUACUUUCGCACUGAAUAGAAAGGCAAACGAGGAUAAAAAAAUAGAAUGGAAAGUGGAUCUCGAUUCAUCGAGCUUAAGUCUCGACUAGUUCCAAAUAGGAUAAUAAAUAGGGGCCGAAAGAACGAAAAAAAAACUAUUUAAAUUCGCACCUAUCGAAUAGAAAAAUAGAACAGAAGGUGGUAGACCUUUUUCUUUCUUUGGAAUAGAAAAAUAGAACAGAAGGUGGUAGACCUUUUUCUUUCUUUGGUAUGCUCUGAACCAUUAAAAUUUUGCUAGAAAUCUACUUCCACACCGAAUGGAGAGUUAAACGAGGGCAAAAAAAGGAUGGAAAAUGAAUCUGGGUUCAUAGAGCUCCAGUCUCUAUCCGUUCCGAAUAUGACAGUAAAUAGGAGUAAAAAAUAAGCAAAAAAAAAAAAUCUAUUUUAGAUCCGCACCUAUCCGAUAAGUAGAGCAGAGGGUGGGGUAUCCUUUUUUGUUUUUUAGUGCAUUCUAAUCCGUUAAUAAUUUGCCAGGAAUCUACUUCCGCAUGGAUCUGGAUUCAUGGAGCUCCAGUCUCGACCUGUUUCGAAUAGGACAGUAAAUAGGGGCCAAAAUAGCCAAAAAAAAACAAUCUAUUUCGAAACCUCACCUAUCCAAUAAAAAAAUAGUCAAAAAUGAGAGGAAAAAAAAAAAAGAUAAUCUAUUUCGGAUCCACAUCUAUUUGAUAAGAAAAUCAAGUGAAAGAUGAGAAACUGUUUUCAAUAUAUUCUAAAUAGAAAAAAUUAUUAGCUUUAAAAUAUCUAUUAUUCCUAGAGAAUCAAUGUUGUAAAAGGUUAUUAUCUAUUAUAUUAUAUGAGAAAUAAGUUUUUUUUAUUACUUUAUAAAACAAAUAAGAUAAAAAUGUACCCUAAAAUUAGGGCUUAUUUUAAUUAUGUAAAAAUUUUAGGUGUUAAGUUUUACUUUAAAAUGUAUAUUCACAAUUGAGAUAAUGAGGCAAACACUUAAUGAGAGAGUCAAAUAAUUUGAACAAAUUUUAUGAAUUCACUAAUAUCUUUUUAAAGUAAAACUUAACACCUAAAAUUUUUACAUAAUUAAAAUAAGCCCUAAUUUUAGGGUACAUUAUUUUUAAUCUUUAAUUUUUAACACCUUGGUCAGCCCUUUUUGGCUGACCUGUUUUCUUUUUCAAAAAAAAAAAAAAAAAAAAAAAAAAAACACAAUUGUUUUCCCUCUUUUGUGGCACUUUAUGUUGUGUCCACUGUAUAGAAGCUACAGAGAAAAUUAAUGGGAUAAAUUGCACACGUGACAUUUUGAUUCUCAAAUUUUAAUUUAUUUUAAUUUUUAUUUAAAUUUUUUAAAUUUUAAUUAAAUAGUAACGUAUUAUUUAUUUAGAAUUAAUAUGACAUCUUAAUUAUUACCACCUCACCAAUCAUAAUAUAUUAUUAUAUUACUUUCGUAUUAAUGACAUAUUAAUAUUUAUUCAUCUAAAUUGAAUUGUGAAACUUAAUUAUAAUAAUUUAAAAUUUUGAGUGAAAAAUUAUAGUAAAUUAAAGUUCGAAAAACAAAGCGUCACACGCAUCAUAAUUUGAGCAUCAAAAGUGUUUUAUUCUCUCACCUCACCUCUCUCUCUCUCUCUCUCUCUCUAGAUCUCUCUCUCUCUUAUUUAUUUAUUUAUUUAUUUAUUUAUUUAUCACUUCACCAUGUUUGAUUAGUACUACAGGGUAACCACCACUAUUAUGACACAUUGAAACUUUAGUGGGCAUGUAAUUGUGAUGAGCAUCACCCUCCACUUUAGAUUCUCUUUCACUCCUUGAUGUGAUCUUUUUUAUUUUUAUUUUUUUAUUUAAAGUACCUUUCUCUUUUCUUAUUUUAAUAUUAAGAAAUGUGGUUUAUGCAAAAGAGAUGCAUGUUGUACUGUAAAUUGGAUUCUUAUUGUUAGUUGUAAUAUUUUUUUAAAUUAAAAUAGAUAGAGAGAAUUUUACCUUGGUUUAACAUUUGGAGGAACAAAGAGGGGAAAAUUUUUCACAGUUUCAUAUAACCAUAAUUUUUUAAUACUUAGGACUCUACUCCGACACAGAAAUAUCUUAUUCGACACAUCUUUCUAAUUUAUUAAAAAAUAUACAGUAUUUGAGAGAUGAAAAAUAUGAUCAAAUAUUUAGCAGCAUGUAUCAUACUCGGUCUUCAAAUUGUUUUUUUUUUUAAAGUAAGAUCAGUCAUCUUGUUGGUGAAAUAUAUAAUUAUACCUAAUCAUAAAUGCCGAGAUCUUUCGAAGAACAAAAAUCAAAUUUUUAGAAGGUGUUUGGUUUCUCGAAAAAGCAUAAAAAAUUAUUUUUUGAAAAAAAAAGUUUUUAAUGGAAAUGACUCUUUUUCACAAUUUCCGUUUUUCAGAUAAAGUAUCUGAAAAAUAAAAACACUACUUUUCAUAAAAUAUGGAAAAAAAAAAAAGUAGAAUAACAUUUUUCUUAUGAACCCAAAAAUACUUAUCCAGCAAAAAAAAAUUUCUGACAUAUAAAUGCGAAACGCACCCUUAGUUUUCAUUCAUGCACAAAAAAAAAAAAAAAAUUCAUACAUAAUAAAUUAUUACUAAAUACUUCCACAUUACUUCUACAUUAGCUAUUUGUCAAUAUUUAAUCAACAAAAUUAAAUUUUAAAAACUUGAUUGCAAUAAGUUAAAAAGUUUGAGUAAAAAAUUAUUAUAAAUUAAAGUUUGAGAACGGAAGUGUCACGAUCCUAAUAGUUUGAAGACCGAAAAUAUAAUUUUAUCCAAAAAUUAUAUUUUUGUCACAUCAUUUGUUUUUUUUAAUACUACAACCUAAUUUAGAUUUCUUAAAAGCCUAAGAAAUGAUUGGAUUAGAAUCUUAAUUCCUACAAUCCAACAUGGGUUGUAUAAAUGGAGAAGUAAUAAUUAAUUCUCUCCGAUUCCUAUAAGGUUUGUAACCAAAAGUCCAAAAAAAAAAAACAAAAAACAAAAAAAAACAACAACAACAAAAGUGAAACAAAAAUAUCCAAUCCAAUCUACUUUCCAAGUGAGGGAAAAAGAUAAUCAAAUUCCAAUUCAAAACAAAUUAAGUUAAAUUCAUGAAAUUAUAGAACUGUAUUUUGAAUUGCACCUCAUUUGGUAUCACAAAAAGAGAAUAGUAAAGUCACUUAAAUUGGAUCAACAAUAAUAAAUAAAAAAAAAAAGAAAGGGCCCCAUAGUAGAGUGCAACAAAGGACUACAUGUUCACGUGGAUAAGGCCUCUUUUAUAUGCAACUUUUUCCCGUACAAAUUAAAAAUUUAAAAGUCCUCUGAAUAAAAUUCAAUAAAGGGAAAGUGUUUUUACAGUAUUGCUAAUUGCGUGUUUCCCUUUCCGCAUUACCUAAAAAAUCGAUCCGAUAAAAAAUUAGUUUUAACGCAUUCGCUCGAAUAGUAUACAAUGAAUCGAGAGAUUGAUCUAAUAUGAAAUGAAUCAGAAUUAGUCUUAGUACCGAAAGAACAGUGCACUGCGCUCCUAAAUAUCAUCAUUAGCAUUGCACGGAGUGUAUAGGUACAUCUGAUGUACCGAACUUUCAAAAUCUUAUUAUAUGAAGGCCUCAAAUUCAGAAUCUAAUUAAUACAAGAACCUAAAUAUAAAGAAAAAUCAUGAAAAUUAAUAGUUAAAUAAAUAUGUAGAAUACACAUGGUGUAGAUGAUAAUCUCUCUCUCUCUCUCUCUCUCUCUCUCUCUCUCAUGCUGUUGAUAGGGUGGCGAAUGACACUCCCAAUUCACAAUCCAUAAUCCAUAGUAAUGAAUUAUUUGAGAGUGAUGUGGGUGGUCCCAAAGUGUCUGGUGGAGAUGGGGGACAAUGUGACAACCAAUUAACACUCCAAAGACCCCCAAACAAGUCACUUUGCUUAUUGUUGGUUCUUCUCAUCUGCCAAAGAAUCAAAUUAGGUGCAUAGAUUAGGGCUAUGCCUUUGCUUUAAUCAUCACCUUUAUUAUAGAAGAUGAUGAGCUAUGUUGCUAGGUUGUCCUAGAGGAGCGCGACUUCAUCGGAUAGCGCCUUCAGCGAGAUCUCACUGAGACGAGUACGACAGAAAAAUAUCCUGUUUGUUUUCGUACGUAAUAUUUCGUUCCGUAUGUCGCGAUGAGUCGAUUACGAUAUAUUUUCUACAGUUCAAUCGAAGAACGCAGAAACAUAUUCUUAUGUGUUUUUAUCCUAACUCUAUUUUAUCUAAUAACAUUAUAUAGAUCUCAAUACCAAACUAAACCUAAGACAGUUUGGUAAAUCACAUAAUUCAUUCCAGGUGAUCUUAUUAAGAC
rnacentral:lncRNA from 1 species